rnacentral:lncRNA from 1 species
AUAUAUAGAUCGCGGCAAUUUACCUCUCCUAUCCCUCUUCUCAAAUCGUGAGGUUGCCGUGUGUUGUGUGCGAAAAGUUGUCUCACACAACACUUAAACUGGAAGAAAUUAAGCUAAAAAACUUUUAAAAAAUACAAAAAAAUUGAAAAAGUAACAAAACUAUUAAAAAAACUACUGAAACGGUAGGUUUGUGAUAGAACAGAAGCGAAAACAACUUAUUUCUUCUAGCAAUCAACAGCGCCAUAUUUUAACCUCUGAAAAUGACGACUAAUAUCAAUCCGGCUGGAGCAAGUUACCCAAUGGCUUCAUUGUAUGUAGGAGAUCUUCACCCAGAUGUCACCGAAGCUAUGUUGUUUGAGAAAUUUUCAACAGCAGGUCCAGUCCUCAGUAUCCGUGUCUGUAGAGAUAUGAUCACAAGACGUUCACUUGGUUAUGCUUAUGUCAACUUUCAGCAGCCAGCAGAUGGUAAGAUAUCCAAAGUUGUAUAUCUAAUAACACAUUCACAUUUCCAUGUAUUCAAAUUGUGAUCAUUCAUACAUUUCAAUUUCACAGGCCUUAGACCAGACACUAGUCCGAGAUUACUCUGACGUCCAACGGCUGUUUUGCCAGACAAGCUGGGGCUGUGGGACGUCAGAGCUCGUCCCAUAUCAAAAAGUGGAUAUUUGCCCACCCAAAAUAGAUGCGCUGCUUCGUCGCUUCUGGUGCCGACUGACGGCCUUGGAAUUAUAUAAAUCGGGCAUCAAUCUGUUCAUUUUUCAUUUAUCUUUUCAUUUAUGUAAGUUUCACCUACCUGCCAACCUUUAUUUUUCCAUAUUUUAACAGUUUUCACAGAGACCCAUUGAUUUCUGCAUUUUGACUUUCACUUUCAAAUGGACGUCAAGUUACGAGAGAGUUGUCAGUUGUGGCCUCGAAACUCAAAUAUUCAAAUUUUGUAGGAGAUCGAUGUUUAACAUUUAGUAGCCAACCACGAUUUUUCACCUCCUUUACAGGAGAUCGGUAUUAAGCAUUUAGUUCCGACCACGAGAACAGUCGGAAGCUCUCAGACAUUUAGAUAACUUGCAUCGUAAAUGAACGAGGUGUUACAUUAUGGUCAUUUGCAUAAAUCAUCACUGUUUUCUCGUGGUCACGUGAUAAUGUUUGAAAAUGAAAGGCAAAAUGCAGAAAUCGAUGGGUCUCUGUGAAAACUGUUAAAAUAUGGAAAAAUAAAGGUUGGCAGGUAGGUGAAACUUACAUAAAUGAAAAGAUGAAUGAAAAAUGAACAGAUUGAUGCCCGAUUUAUAUAAUUCCAAGGCCGUCAGUCGGCACCAGAAGCGACGAAGCAGCGCAUCUAUUUUGGUGGGCAAAUAUCCACUUUUUGAUAUGGGACGAGCUCUGACGUCCCAUGGCCCCAGCUUGUCUGGCAAAACAGCCGUUGGACGUCAGAGUAAUCUCGUACUAACCAGACACAUGACAGAUUCUGAGAUUGUCAGUGGCAAUUAAGUCAACUUGCCUCCCACCUACAUUUUUUGUACUCUCACAUGUUUUAAAAAAAAUACUUCUCACCAGAAUAGAAUUGGAAUUCAAACCCACGAAAACAAUACCAUUAUCGCAAACAUCAGGCUCCGACACUUAAGUUAAGUUUGUCCGAUUGCCCCAAUGAGUUGAUGCCGUAUUCGGACAAGUAAAAAUAUCAUCUUGGUUGUCAGAUCAAGCUUGAAGUGUUACAUGAUCAAAAUUUCACAAAAUCAAUAGUGUCAGCUGUUUAGUACAUAGAUUACUACAUUGUACUAGGUGAUAACACUGCACGGUCUUAACGCCCCUUCAAAAUAUUUUUUGUUUUUUUUGUUAGCACUGAAUCUUCCAUUUUUCCAAAAAUAGAUUACGUUUAAAAACACUGGCCAAUCAGCUGCUGUGGCGUUGCUUUGUCGUUAUUGUUUUCAUUCAAGACACCACUCAGUCGUUUCCGACCCACAUAUUUUUGCAACUGACCAUUGGAAAGCGGAUGUGACUUUUGUCUAUUUUCGUUGUUCUAACUUUAGAAUUUCAAAGUGGGUAGUAUAUGUACCUUAAAAAAAAUUUCAUUGACAAAUUGUUCUCACUGACUAACAAGAAUAAAUUUAUAUUGUCAUGUGCAGUCAGGGGUACUACUUGUACAAGUGUAUUUUAUUUACUUGAAGAAGUGAAAAAAAAUAUACACAUAUAAGUAAAUAAAUAAUGUUUGAAUAAUCUCCCCUUAAUUUUCUGAAAAAUUUACUUGUAUAAGUAAAUUUUUCUUACAAUCCCACAAAAAUCCUCAAGUUUUGAGAUGUAAAAUCAUGCCUUUAAUGAUUUUUCCCAGGUUUGCUCAAAUUUUUUUCAUUAAAGUUCAAUGUUUCAUCUCAUUAAUCAUCAAAGAAACUGAUUGAGCAAAGAUCUUGUAUAUUUGCGCAAGGCAUUCAAAAAUUGCUCCUUUGGGGCUUGUAAAUGAGCAGUGUUAAGAAGAUAACAGACAAAUGGGACUUUCAUUGUCCAUGAAAUUACACUUAAAUGAUUAGUAAAGACAUCUGCAAAGGGUACACAAUUUAAAAUUCUAUUAGAGCAAAGAAAUCUUAAGAAUUCAAGAAAAGAAGAAAGGAUGAUUUUUUUACUUAUACAAGUAAAAAAUUCUGAAUGCCUAAGGGACAUAACUAAGCCAAUUUUUUUUUUACCUAUACAAGUAAAUAAAAUUCACUUGUAUAAGUAUCCUACAAAUUUACUUAUCUGUGUAUAUUUUUUUUUACUUCUUCAAGUAAAUAAAAUACACUUGUACAAGUAGUACCCCUGACUGAUGUGUAUGUACAAAAUGUAAAAUUCAAGGUUUUUAUAAACUUGUAAAAACUGUAAUACAAAUGUACAUUGUACAUGUAUGUUAUCAGGUUUGAUUGUGAAUGUCUUUUCUGAAAAAGAAUCUUGACACAAAAUAUGCAAAAUACUAGUGAAAAUAAAAUGCAGGCUGAACAUACACAUGUAUCUUUUGCAGCUGAGAGAGCUCUUGACACAAUGAACUUUGACACCAUCAAAGGUCGACCAAUAAGAAUCAUGUGGUCACAAAGAGAUCCAUCUCUGAGAAAAUCUGGUGUUGGCAACGUAUUCAUCAAGAACCUUGACAAAAGCAUUGACAAUAAAGCAUUAUACGAUACAUUCUCUGCCUUUGGAAAUAUUUUAUCCUGUAAGGUAAGAAAACUGUUAUGUAAUGGAUUUUAUUUUUGUUGACAGGUGAGAGUAAAAAAAUUAUGUUGUGAAAAUUAAAGGCAGAGGCGGAUUCAGGAAUUUGGAAAGGGGGAUGCGAAGUUGUUAAAGAUUGCCAAGCGGAGCAAGUCGAAAAAAGUUUGGGAUCUUUUUUCCCGUUAAAAAACAUGAAAUACAUGUAAGGAGUAUAAAAAAUUGUCCAACCCUUACACUUUACAGCAACUAUAGAAUAUACAUGCCCCACGUCAGGAACCGUUUAAAAUGUGCAUUUUACACUGUAUUCUCCCUAUUAAUUGUCUAUCAUACAUUGUAUAUAUAAUGAUAGUAUGGAAUCAAAGCUACGUACUUAUAUAUUUGAUGUGGGACUUGUCAGUAAAAAAUAAAUAUAGGACAUGUAGUUCUCGUUUGUUGUAUCCUCGUUGUUGUAUCCUCACAAACAAGAAAUACCCGGGCUAUUCGAUAAAAUUGUUUGGUUGAUAUAUUUCACCCAACAAAAUUAAGGGAAGUGAGGGGUUCCAAAAUAAACCAAAGGUGACCAAUGAGUCUGAAAUCACAACGAAUUUAUGAAUGACGGUCAACAAAUUGAGACAUAUAGGCCUCACUCAGCAAGCAGAUUGCAGUCUAAAAAAAAAACAUUUUUAUUCAUCAUGUUAAUUGUUAGGUAAUUAGUUGCUAUAUUGUGAUGUCCAUACUUGAAUAAAUUUAGCUCCUUUGUUAUUCAUAGCAUCCGAAAAUAUUUUAUAGAUUCUUGCACAUCAGUUUGACCUCCAAAACUGUCUCAGAUUUUUCCUAUUGUAUUUCAUUUUCUCAUAAAUCUUCAAUGAGGUUUGCAACAUCAAUUCAUAAGAGAUCACUAAAUUCAAUGUGGUAUAAAAUUUGUUCUGUUGAUGUUUUUGGAAAUCUGAGACACAGUUUUGGAGGUCAAGCUGUGUUGUACAAGAAUCUAUAAAAUACUUUGGGAUGCUAUGAAGAACAAAGACGCUAAAUUCAUUCAAGUGUGGACAUCACAAUAUAGCAACUAAUUACAUAACAAUUGAUUAUGUAAUAAUUAUGUUUUGAUGAAAUUAUCCCAAUUUGAAAGAUAAAUCUUUCUUUCUUUUGGUACCUCGUUUAUAAAAAAUAAAGAAGGAUGAAAUGAAUUACAUCACUUUAAAGAUGUCUGAUUAGGAGUGAACAAAUCCUUGUAUUGUGCUACCUUAAUGUUUAAUAAUUCUGUUGGAAAUUUCCGUUUCUAAUAUCUCCCAAAAGUGGACAAGAUUAUUGUUUUCAAUUCACAUACUACCAGAAUUCUUAUUUAACACUUUCACUACUGAAUUUAUUUUUUUCGCGGGAUUCUCUGGCCGAAAUUUAUUUGCACGAGCCGUUUGCCUGACCGGGAUUAAUUUGACAUGUGCUACAGCAAAAACGACCUCGUAGUUUCGGUCAUUAAAAACUCGGGAACCGUAGCGAGUUGUGCGGUCAAAUUUUGAUAAAAUGUAGAUAAAUAUCAUAGGUUGAGCGUCCGUAGACUGUUCAUAGAGAAAGAAGCUGUUUACCUUAAAAACGCGUGUCGAUAACGUAGAUUGAUUGAGUCAGAAGAUAAUUUUUGUCAUUGCGUAUCAUAUAUCACUUUCACUUACAUUCGGCAACGUUUCUUAUGCACACGUGUGUUUCAAAAUGCUAUUUCAAUGAGCCACUGAAUUAUUUUCCUUCAAAAACCGUUUCCGUUUUCAUUUUCUUGGCAAAAAUUCUUGUAAAUCGAGACUGUCGUUCACGUAGAUUUUGGCCGCCAUUUGUUUACGGUUUCGAAAGAAGAAAGAUAACUCGGGUUCGAUAACGGACAAUAACUCUUCCAGACGAUUUGUGUGAAUACCCCCAGCGUUGAUAUGCGAUCAUGAACUAUUAAUAAAAGCUUUUAACUGCAAUAAAAAUCGGUGGGACUUCCUUGCUUUAUGACUUUACCCCAGUAAUGCAUUAAUUCUUCCAAAUGUGAAUGAGAUGAAGCUUUCCAAUAAAUAAAAGUAUUAAUUAAAUCAUGCCAAAAAGUGACUUUUUUUCUAAAUCCAUGAAAUUUCCAAUAAAUUUGAUUUGUGUCAUGGGGGUUAUAUAAUAUAAAAAUUAUCUAAACAUAAAUAAAUGUACUACAGAUAAGCAAAUACCAAAGCAAAAAAAAAGCCUAGUGAAUUUAUUUUUUUUGGAAAAUUGUAAAAAUUAAAAUCUUAACUAUGUAGUCAAAAUUUAGGAUGUAUAAGAUAACAUAAAAUUGACAAAUACAUCAACUGAUGUUUGUUAAAGCAGCACAAAUAAAUACUAAAAGCUGACAAUUAAUAUUUUAAAUUUAUUUUUAUCAUAGUUUAAUUUAUUAAUCACAUGAAGUACAGACAAAGAAGGUCAUAUUAUAUGCAGACAACUACUGGGUACUGUUUUACUUAAAAUCAUGAUAUGCACACACAGAUGCAAGUCGUUGAAAAAAAAAAGGGAUUAAAUACAUGUUUUACUGCAGAAUGCAGUUUUAAAAUUCAUUGAUGGAAAGCUACAUCAGGGAGCUGAUAUAGUUUGUAAUAACAUUGUCAACAUUUGGAAGCUAUGAAAUUUGUUUUAUUUUCAGUUUAUUAUGCUGCCUUGAAUAGGAGGAUUCAUAUCAUAAAUUCUAAUUUUUAAUAUGAGUGAGGACAUAUGGAAACUACUUUUUUUUAAUUUUCUGUUUAUGUUGUUGGGCUAUUGUUUGGAUAUUUAAUGGAAUGGUUUGUCAAAAGGUAAAUAAAAAUAACUUGAGUGAGUUGUUAUACUAUAACCGGGCGAUAUCUUUUUGCGCCAAAAAGUAACUCAUUUGCGCCACAACUUAUUUGCGCCAAUACUUCUUUUGCGCCAACUAAUUUUCAAAACCAUAGGUAUCAUUUGCGCCAAUAAAAUAAUCAUCUAAUUGCGCCAAUUCUAUUUAUUUUUAUUCAUAUAUAACAACUAAAUGAUUGACUAGGUACCAUCAGCAAACAAUCCUCUUACAUUGUACAAAGAAAUUUUAAAUUAGCCUCGCAUCCUGAUAAAAUCAUCCCGCUUUCUGGAUCGUUACACAAUACAAAGUCAUCAUCUUUGUUUGUAACAACACCAAUAUCAUCCAAUAUUGUGUGAAAUUCUUCUUGAUUUUUAGGUUGAGCCAGAUGCAGUUUUCUUCUCUCUAUAGACAUUGACUGACGCACAUAUUUUAAAUCUUUCUUUUCUAAAUUUUCUUUUUCAAUUUUGAAGAGCUCUGAAUUUAUUAUUUUUGAAGGUCGCCCUGACAACAUAUCGGUUUCUUUUGUUUUGCACGAAGUUCUUUCUUUCUUUUUACAAAUGAAAAUAUGGUAUUUUAUACUGCCAAAAUAUGCUAUGAAAUUUUAAUAAAGCGAAAAUGUAUUUUAUACUCAUAUAGUUGACUUGUAUUUGUAUUAUAAUUUUUAGAAAAAUUGUUUUAUAGUCUCUCAAAACUCUUUAUAGAGUGGCUCUUGUUGUUAACCUGUGUUUUAAAAAGCUGUAUAUUUCAUAUGUACAUGUAACAAGUCACGGUGGUGAGAGUAUUUGUCUUAUCUUGUCUUGUCUUGAUAGAUAAAACAUGUACAGGUAUGAUAUAGGUAAAAAUAUUAACAGGUAAAUGUGGCGCAAUUUCAUUUCAUUUAUUGGCGCAAUUAAUACUAUAAAAAUAAAAGAGAGUGGCGCAAUUAAUACCUUUUCAAAACUGCAAUUGGCGCAAAUUGAUUCUGCCCCUAUAACCAAUGUUACCAGUCUAUUGAUUAAUCUAGUAUUACAUCCAGUAGCAAGUGUUACUUACAUAUACAUGUAAGCCUAUAUAUAUAUUAAUGUGGUAUGAAAAUCCUGCUUACAUGUACUAGUCCCAUAAACAGUGUUAAUUUAAGAAGCUGACUUACAAGGUAACAGCCACAAGACCCUAAUAUGGUCCCAUUAUACCAUUUCCAAUUUAAUUAGUCUUUUCUCUUUAGAGUUCUAUAUGACUUGGCUUCUAAGAGAAGCAGCAAUUUCAAUACCAUUUGAAGUCUCUUUUUGAAUACAAGAGGUGUUUCCUAGUGCAAAAAUGGUUGUUUAUAUGAGAAUUACAAAUUACAAUAACAAUAGGCACUGAGUCUGCCACACUGGUCAUUCAUCUUUUGUGUUUGUAUGCAACAUGAGGGGGAGUAAUUUAUUAUGUUCCACAUAAUUUUCAAAACAAAAAAUUGAACCCCUAUUGUUUUCAGAAACAUACAGGAUCAGUACUAUUUUACAAUAAUAAAUAAUGCCAUCUUAAGAUUAAUCAGUAGAAACAAACAACACGUUAUGUUUUUCACUUUGGAAAAAAAAUCACUUCCCUUCAGCAAAAAAAAUAAUUAUUUUUCAAUUCUAAAAAAACAAGUAAUUUUCCCUUCCCUUCUAAAAUAAAUAUUAUUUGUCACUUCCCUUCUUUGACAAUGUUUUCUUUAAAAAAAAAAAAUAGGGAAUAAAAACAAUUUGUUACAUAAAAAUAAUCAUCUUGGCAUCUUUCAGUUGUUUUACUCUCUGUCAACAGAAUUUGUUUUUCAAAACAACUUAAAAUUUUUUUGUAUGCUGAACCAGACUUUUAAAAACCUCUGUUACAAGACGAGAUACAUCGUGGAAAAUAAUUUACACUCGAUUAAAAUACGAAUAAGAUUGCAGAAUAUUGUCUCAUCUUUCCAAACCACUUUUCUUUUUAAAUAAAAAAGCUAUGAGAUGUGACAACACGUGUUUUUAUGAACCGCACUAUUUAUAGACACUCCAUUUUGUCAAUAUCCGGUUCUAUUUUUAAUGGAAGUGGACUUUCGUUUUGUCGACCUACAUACUGCAGUACAGCCUUUCAAUGAAAAGAAAUAAAAUCCGUAGCACUACAGACUCCUGGGAGUGUCUAAAACGAUGAUAAAAGACUCUGAUUCAAUCGAUAAUGAAAGGUUGACUGUCAAACGGCAGAGAGAAAUAAUAAUUUACAGUCGUGCACCUGAUAACGACCAUCAAAGUCUCGAUUUCAAGUUGUUUUACAAAUAAGCUUCUCACCACUCCAAAAUCUACGUUCAUACAUUACUUUUGUACAAGUUCAACGACUUUUAUGACCGCAGGUUAAGUUUUCUAAAUGUUUCAACUCGAAAUGAAACUCCUGACCACGAUUGUUUAUGAUUCCGCCAUUUUGUUUUUCACGAGGUUUUUUCUUCUCAACAAUCUUUGAAAAAAACAUAUUUUGACAGCGUUUUUACGCCCGAUACUAAAAUAUAGAAUGCAUUUGAUGUUUAUCGUAACAUCUAUGGAGCAACUGCACCAAGAAACAUGUCUAAACAUUAUUUUUACUGUUUGCACUGUGAACGUCUAAAAAUAGAAAUCUAUGUAUCCUUAAGGAUAAUUUCGCCCUCAGCUCCGUGGUGCCAAAAGGAUAAUUUCGGCUCGCGCUCGAGGGUGCCAAAAGGAUAAUUUCGGUACGAAAGGGUUAAUGCAAAAACCAGUCAGAUUUUUUUCUCUCAAAUACCUUGGACUGUCUCCUCAUAUCUGAUGGUUUGUACCUUAGACUUUAAAUCUAUCUAUAGAGCUUAUAUUGACUGGGGAACAUUAUUUAGCUAUCAUGUUAUUUUAAAAUAGGCUUGGGCGUUUGGGAUUAAGCAUGUUUUCGUAGGUAAAUAAUAUUGCUGUGGAUUUUUUUCAUGAGUGUGUGUUAGAGUAUUACUUUCUGUUUGGUUGAAUUAAGAAAUAGAAGUCACAACGUUCUUGCUCAAUCCUGCGCCGCUUUGAAGGUAUCAUGGUUGUCAUUCUUAGCUUUUAAAGCAAUGUGUAACUGUAAUUUGAAUUUCAAAAUGACUGAGUGACGUUUUUUUUAAUUUUUGACACACCAGUUAACUCCACCAUCAUGACCAUAGCAAAUAACAUGACUUUGACAUAAUUAGUAAUUAUCAGAGACAAAUAUCUUUAUAAGUAAAGAAUUGUCGCUUGAAAAUAAUCAUUUUACAACAAAAAAAAAGCAAAGGAAGGGGGGUGCCCUCUAUGCCCCCCUCUACCCCCCCCUCUUGAUUCGCCACUGAAAGGAGUCCAUUCCAUUUCAAUAGUUGGGUAUCUCCACAGAUAAAAAUGACUAAGAACCAUGUUACAUGAACACAGCAAAAAUUAAAAUAAAAAAAUAAAUUAUUGACCUUUUCCAGACCAUUGAAUUUUUAAUUCCAAAACUUCUGGUUAACUUCAGAAGUUUAUAAUAUCACCUUGCAACCCCAUUGGUCACAUUUUCUAGUUACUGGUAACUAGUAUAAUUAAACAGGUAACCAGAUUAAUUUGACUAAUCAGAUUGCACAAUCAUAUUAACUUCCUAAGUUGACCAGAAGUUUUGGAGUUACAAAUUCAAUUUUCUCGAAAAAGGUCAAUAAUUGAAUAACUUUAGUUAUACAUGCGUUAUUCUGUUACUAUAUGUAAGUUUUGGAACAUUUAUUUUUAGAUUGUCUGUGACGAGCAUGGAUCACGUGGAUACGGAUUUGUACAUUUUGAGACUGAGGAAGCAGCCAGAAAUGCUAUUGAAAAAGUAAACGGCAUGUUGUUGAAUGGAAAGAAAGUGUAAGUUUUCUUUGUAAUCAUUGGUUGUGUAUAGAGUUUAUAAAUGCGAAAUUUAAAAGCGAAGUGUGAAAAAGUUGAAAACUUGUGCUUUUGAUUUCUUCAUUAUAUUAGUUCAAAUGUUAGAAUGUAUAAAGUCAUUACAGGUUCAAUUUUACUUUACUUGAUUUAUAUCCCUUUUUAACAUGAUAUGCAAGUGGGGACAUAUUUCCCAUGGAUACAUCCAUUUAUUAAAGACUGUACAUGUAUAUUGAUUCUUGAAAAGUGUUUGUUAAUCACACAUUAGUUCAAAUGUUUGAAUGCUUUUAAGUCUUUUCAAGCAGUUUAUAAUCAUACAAUCUUAAACAAAAUAUUUUCUUAUUUUAGAUUUGUAGGACGAUUCAUGAAUAGAAGGGAACGUCUUGAAAUUCUUGGAGACAAGAUGAAGAAAUUUAACAAUGUCUAUGUUAAGAACUUUGGUGACGAUAUGUCUGAGGAUGAAUUGAAAGAUAUAUUUGAACCAUUUGGAAAACUUAUAAGUGUCAAGGUAUGAUUUAUUAUUGACUUUGGAUGUGAAUAUGAUGAUAGUAUGUUUUUGAUGUAGAACAAACUAUACUGGAUUUUGUAAGAUUUGCCACUAUAUUUUGUGGUAGUGGCCAGGUACAUGUACAUUGUUGAUUCAUGGCCAUCACUCACUGCCACUGCAUGGUAUGACAGGCCACUGUAUUUUGUUUAUAAAGGACAAGUUAUAAGUUGUAUGAGUAUUCCAAAAUUAAUUAAAUUUAGAUUGGUUGGAAAUGACUUUUUAAAUUAUAUCUGACUUGAUAAAUGAUUUAAAUAUUACAAAAUAAAAGUCUGACCCUCUAGAUGGUGUUUCUGUUUUGAUACAUGCAUGCAUUUGAUCUGUGAACUAUUUUGUUGGACAUUGAAAGAGAUCAGCAACUCUCAACUGUAGAUGGGAUAGACAGAAGAUAGUUAUAGAUUAUUGUUGGUCAUCUCAAAAAGGUUGAUUUUCUCACUUGAGCCGGUAAGGCAAAAAGCAAUCAAGUUGAGAUGACCAAUGAUAAUCUGUUGAUGCAAAUUUACUCAAGAAGACGUUAUUAAAAUCAUUGACAAUGGCAUGUGUGGCUUUAGUUUCUAGAGAUAUUUUUUCAUAUCACUCUACUGUGCCGAGAAAGGAAAUUAUCAGUCAGUAAAGUCAAAGGAAAAUUCGUAAAAUCACAAUAAAUUGAUUUAUAUAGUUAUUGAUGGAACAAUUUUGUAGAAUGAAUGUUGUACAGUACACUCAUGGUGAUUUACUUUCAAAUUGCUCUUAAUCAAGAAAAAAAACUACAACAAAUAAAACUAAAGACAGCAAUAGGAGCUCUUGUUAAAAUGUUGGAAAGUUUCAGGUGCUCCAGAAGGGUAAGGAUCUAUGUUUUGGUUAUAAAAACUAUGAUUUUGAUUUAAGAUUAUAAUUAUUAUUUUUAUUUACAGAUCAUGUCUGACAUUGGCGGUAAAAGUCGAGGAUUUGGAUUUGUUAGUUAUGAAGAACCAGAGGCAGCAGAAAAGGUAAAUUACAGCUCUUAUAUAAAAGCAUGCAAAGCAAACCUUUUAUCAACUGUUUGGAUGUUUGCAAAUAAUAGGUAGGAGGAGUUUCAGUCUAUUUUAUAUAUACUGGGAUUUGAUUGGACAAUAAAAAUCGACAUUCAAUGUUUAUUGUCCAAUCAUAUUCUAGUAUAUAGUAAACAUAUAUAUAUAGACUACUUUCCUUUUGUUAACAAACAUCCAAACAAACAUAGCAAGCAAGUUGAUCAAAGGUUUGCUUUGCAUGCCUUUAAAGAAGAGCUGUAACAAUAUUUUUUUUUUACCUAAGGUGUACAUGCACAAGUUAUGAACUGAAAUUCAAACUCCUCAUUAAAAUCAUCUCAAGGCCUAGAGAUUAUUAUUUCUUGUCUAUAACAAAACUGUUUGAGCAGAGUUUUCAAAUAGUGGUUGUCCUAAGGGUUUGUUCACACAUAAUUUGCAAAAGAAUUUUGGUAUUUUGUGUAAGAAAUAAUAGUAAGCUUGACAAAAUUUGAUUGAUUCAGGUCUGGAAUCAAUUUUCCAGAGAAAUAUGUAGGGCUAUUCAACAUGUUCAUGAACAAUUAUUUAUUAUUUACCUAUAAACAUUUUCUACAGUAACACAGCACUUUAAUUGUUUGUUGCACAGACACGCUUAAAAUUAGUACAUUGUUUUAGCCUUUUAAAUGAAUUAGCUUUUGACAACAUAUUACAAUAAAAUACAAUAUGUCUGAUUUUUGAUAGGCUGUUGAAGAUUUGAACGGUUUAAACAUCCACGAAAGGACUUUGUUUGCUGGCAGAGCACAGAAAAAGGCUGAGAGACAAGCAGAGCUUAAGGACAAAUUUGAGAGAAUCCGAAUGGAGAGAAUUAAUAGAUACCAAGGAGUUAAUCUGUAUGUAAAGAAUUUGGAUGACAACAUUGAUGACGAAAGGCUAAGGAAGGAAUUCUCUCAGUUUGGAACCAUUACAAGUGCUAAGGUAUGUAGGAAUAUGACAGGGAAAAAUGGUCAAUUUAUCAUCCAGAUUGGUGAAUAGCCAGAAUGGAUGAAGUGUGCACGAAACUCACUAUUUUACUUAACUUUAUUGUUAAGCCCACUGGAAUGCAGAAAAAAUGACUUGUUGUCGAAUACUAGAUUAUCUUAAAACUACUAUUAUGAAUGGUGCACAACUUUUAUCAAAAUAGUGCAGAAUUGACAAUUUUGAAGGGAAAAAAUCCGUUCAUUAUCUUCAUUCAGUCACUUUUAAUGGAGUUUAUGUUACAGCCUAUUGCAACAAGUGUGUAGGUAAAGGUACUAUCUUUAGUUUGCUUGGAUGGGUGUCAACUAUGCUUUUGAACUGAGAAUGUCAGUGAAAUACCAAAAUUGCCAGUACCUGCUAGCCCUUUUUCAAAAUGCCAUCUGUUAAAAUUAUGUAUGUUUUAACAGAACAGCACUUAUUACUUUUUAUUUCAAUUUUACUUUCAGGUUAUGUCAGAAGGUGGAAGAUCCAAAGGAUUUGGGUUUGUUUGUUUCAGUUCUCCAGAAGAGGCUACUAAGGCAGUAACAGAAAUGAAUGGUAGGAUUGUGGUAGCCAAACCUUUGUAUGUGGCUCUAGCCCAACGUAAAGAAGACAGAAAGGCUCAUUUGGCAUCACAGUACAUGCAGCGUAUUGCUAGUAUCAGAAUGCAGGUAAAGAAUUGAGUUAUUUGUGUGUAAGCUAAUUCAUUGCCAUGAAAUAUUGAUAUUUAUAUUUAGGGUUACACAUGAAUAAAUGAAAUGAUAAACGUCAUGAAUACAUACAAUAUAGAAGAAAAAACUGAAAAAUACGUCAACAAUUGUGUAUUAUACACAUCUGUACUAACUACAUUUUUGAGGUAAAAACUGCAUAUUUUCACAACAAAAUAUGGUAUGAUUUUCAGAAUUUAAUAUUGUCAAUACAUUUAUUUGAAGUUGUUGGAUAUUUAUUUGUAUCGAAGGGUAUAAGCAUACAAUAUUGAUCCUAAUUAUAUAUGAUGGUGGAUCCAAGCAGGGUUCUCCCUUGGGCAAGUCCAAAACUGAAAUAUAUUUUGUAUAAACUGAAUAGGCAUAUCAUUUUAUAGCAAAUUUUAAAAGUAAUCUGAAUUUAAUUUCAUUUCAUUGUUGAUGUUCUAUUAGGUCAUACAGACUAAAAUAAUAAAUGAUAUUGAAAUAAAAUAUCUUUUUCUUACUGUUGGACUCCCCAUGGCCUUAAGUAACGAGUCACUGAACUGGCCUUCAAAAUCCUUAGUUAGAACCCUAAAUCAUUGAUCUUGUGUGAGUUUAUUAUAUUCUUUAUUUAUUAAUGAUAUUAGGGACAGCCUGCUGCCGGUAUGAUGAGUCAGAUGUUCCCAUCAGCAGGACCAGGGUAUAUCCUUCCUACCAUGACACAGGGACAGAGAAACUUCUAUGCCCCAACACAGGUACCACAGAUGAGGGCCAGUCCAAGAUGGCCAACACAGCUAAGACAGCCCACACCAGCUAGUGGUAUGUACACAUGUAUAAAGAAGAUGAUGUAUAAUUGCCAAUGAGAUAAUUCUCCACCAGAGACCAAUAGAGGUUGAUAACUAUAUGUCACAGUACGGCUUUCAACAAUGAGCAAAACCCUCAUAGCUCUUAAAUGACUAGUGUAAAACAAUUCAAACAAGAAAAUUAAUGUCUUGAUUAAUUAUAAAGUAAUCACAGAAAUACAAAUAUGUAUUACAUAAAUUUUGGGAGAAAGGUAAAUGUAUUUGAAGAUAUUACAGCUAAUUUCCUAAUGCUAUUAGAUUAAAAUUUUGGUAGGCUUGCUUGCUCUGUUUGUAUAAAAGUUUAUUAAAGCUUUGUAGUUAACAAUGACAUCAUCGAAUAGUAUGUAUACAGACAUUUUUUUAACCUGCAUAUAUUAAAUUUAACUUUGUUAAGGUAAGGUUUGCGUACACAGGGAGAUAACUCGAAUUCAAAUAAUUGAAAAAGGAGGGAUCCGCCAUUUUGAAUUGCUUUGAUUAACCAAUGUUCGAUAACUACAAUAUUAUCGAAAAUAAAACAACACCUACCUCAAAAUCGCCGUUUUGAUGUAAUUUUAUCAAAAUUUGAAUCGUACAAGUAACAUUAUGACUUCAGUUUGUUAGUUUUCAUUUAUAUGACGUCACGUUUAGCCGUAACGUCUUUGUGCAAAAACCAUUCAUAAAGUUUCGCGGGAUUUUAUUUUAUUUCAUUUCAUAAAUGUACAUUUUCAUGCCUCCGCCGUAGCAAGGGGGUAUUGAGUUUUAUUCUUGUCUCUUUGUACGUCCAUCCGAAUGUACGUCCGUUUUUACAAAAUUGGUUUCCGUUCUCUAACUUUAGUUUGCCUCAACCAACUGAUAUAUAAAACUUAUGCAUAAUGCUUUUUACCACAAAAAAACAGAAUAAAUUUGAAUUUAGAUGUCGUCACUUUUACAGUUCUAGAUUUAUGAGGGGUCGGACAGGGUACACAUUUCUCCUUUCUCCCGUCCCUUUUCUCUUGUCACCCGCCGUAAAACUUUAAAAAAAACUAAUGUAUGGGAAGUUCAUUUCAACAGAAAUCGAUCUAAUAUCUUGUGUUUUGAUGGCUUGUCCCCGUCCUGUCCUUUCACAAGAUAGAAGUGUUGUUUAUUCUGCUUCAAGAACCCCGAUAAUUUUUUCACUGACUAACUGUUAAGCUGUCUCAUUCAUUGAAUUUGUAAGUCUGAUGCACGCCGUUUCCGAUUUUUUAUUAAGUAUAAAUACAAAUUAUAGAAAUGCAGGAUUGAGUGAAAAAUGGCACAUUUUUUGUGACACUUUUAGUCAAUUUCGUUUAAAAUGGUUGGAAUUUACAUAAUGAGCCACUGAUGUGUUUUACUUAUAGAGGAUGCAUAUAUAUAUUCUCAGAUAUUUUUAUUGCAUAAUUUUUACUUAUGACAGAAUGUUGACUUGGUCUUGAGAUCUCACAAACAUGUUUAACCCCGCCGCAUUUUGCGCCUGUCCCAAGUCAGGAGCCUCUGGCCUUUGUUAGUCUUGUAUUAUUUUAAUUUUAGUUUCUUGUGUACAAUUUGGAAAUUAGUAUGGCGUUCAUUAUCACUGGACUAGUAUAUAUUUGUUUAGGGGCCAGCUGAAGGACGCCUCCGGGUGCGGGAAUUUCUCGCUACAUUGAAAACCUGUUGGUGACCCUCUGCUGUUGUUUUUUAUUUGGUCGGGUUGUUGUCUCUUUGACACAUUCCCCAUUUCCAUUCUCAAUUUUAUUGGUCUUUCAAAUGUACAGUUUGCAAGGUUUAUCCGCAAAUACGCACACAACCCACACGUUUACAUCAUUCGAAAUAUAUGUUAUUUUAUCAAUCACUUUUACAACUGACGGAAUGUUUCUAAUCGUAUUUUUUUUUAUGGAUGCAUUAAAAAUGUGUCUUUCAGACACAACUAUUGUAUUGUGUCGUCCUGAACAUGCCUGAAGUAUUUGCCACCGGACAUUUUACAACCCCUAAUCAAACAAACUUCUAUGCAUAUCAGUCAACUUUGAAUUAAUUUAUCUAAAAACAAGGAUGGUAACAUAUGUCUCUACACAUGCACAGACUCACUAUAAAAUCCCGGAAAUUGUUAGUUUUUAGUCUUUCUCCGUAUAUAUAAAAGAGAUCAUAAUGAAGUAGGGACGACGCUCGGAGUAUUUUUAUGAGGUCGUUUUCUGAAUUUUUCGUUUCUGUUCUCUACCUUUAGUUUGCUUCAACCAAAUGUUAUAAAAUUUAUACGUAAUGCUUUAUAAUGGUUUAUAUUUAUGCAAGAGGGGUCAUCAUCAAUGUCCCAUGGACGCAUUCCUUCAAACUCAGAGUCUUGUACAUGUAUUAGUACACAAGUAUGACCAACUCUUCCGACUGAUAGUUGUGGGCAUUAAAGUUAAGGGACGACAUCAAAAGUUCAAUGUAGAAUACAAAAACCAACUUAAUUCACAUAGUUUGUUCACUCACACCCUCUUAACUUAAUUUGGGAAAAAUUUGAUUGACCAAUAUGGAUAUAUGUAAAAUCGAUGUCAAAUUAAUAAAAACUUGCAGCAACUUUUAUCCCCCCCCCCCAAACUAUUUGAAUUCAGUUUUUUUUUUAUACGACCGCAAAUUUUGAAAAAAUUUUCGUCGUAUAUUGCUAUCACGUUGGCGUCGGCGUCGGCGUCGGCGUCGUCGUCGUCGUCGUCGUCGUCCGGCGUCCGAAUACUUUUAGUUUUUCGCACUCUAACUUUAGUAAAAGUGAAUGGAAAUCUAUGAAAUUUUAACACAAGGUUUUAUGACCACAAAAGGAAGGUUGGUAUUGAUUUUGGGAGUUUUGGUCCCAACAUUUUAGGAAUUAGGGGCCAAAAAGGGCCCAAAUAAGCAUUUUCUUGGUUUUCGCACUAUAACUUUAGUUUAAGUUAAUAGAAAUCUAUGAAAUUUUGACACAAGGUUUAUGACCACAAAAGAACGGUUGGGAUUGAUUUUGGGAGUUUUGGUCUCAACAGUUUAGGAAUUAGGGGCCAAAAAAGGGCCCAAAUAAGCAUUAUUCUUGGUUUUCGCACAAUAACAUUAGUUUAAGUAAAUAGAAAUCAAUGAAAUUUAAACACAAUGUUAAUGACUACAAAAGGAAGGUUGGUAUUGAUUUUGGGAGUUUAGGUCCCAACAGUUUAGGAAUUAGGGGCCAAAAAGGGACCCAAAUAAGCAUUUUUCUUGGUUUUCGCACCAUAACGUUAGUAUAAGUAAAUAGAAAUCUAUGAAAUUUAAACACAAGGUUUUAUGACCAUAAAAGAAAGGUUGGGUUUGAUUUUGGGAGUUUUGGUCCCAACAUAAUAAGGGGCCCAAAGGGUCCAAAAUUAAACUUUUGUUUGAUUUCAUCAAAAUUGAAUAAUUGGGGUUCUUUGAUAUGCUGAAUCUAACUGUCAUGACUGUGUAUGUAGAUUCUUAACUUUUGGGUCCCGUUUUCAAAUUGGUCUACAUUAAGGUCCAAAGGGUCCAAAAUUAAACUUAGUUUGAUUUUGACAAAAAAUGAAUCAGUUAGGUUCUUUGAUAUGCUGAAUCUAAAAAUGUACUUAGAUUCUUGAUUAUUGGCCCAGUUUUCAAGUUGGUCCAAAUCGGGGUCCAAAAUUAAACUUUGUUUGAUUUCAUCAAAAAUUGAAUAAAUGGGGUUCUUUGAUAUACCAAAUCUAACUGUGUAUGUAGAUUCUUCAUUUUUGGUCCUGUUUUCAAAUUGGUCUACACUAAAGUCCAAAGGGUCCAAAAUUAAACUUAGUCUGAUUUUAACAAAAAUUGAAAUCUUGAAGUUCUUUGAUAUGCUGAAUUCAAAAAUGUACUUAGAUUUUUUUAUUAUGGGCCCAGUUUUCAAGUUGGUCCAAAUCAGGAUCUUAAAAUUAUUAUAUUAAGUAUUGUGCAAUAGCAAGUCUUUUCAAUUGCACAGUAUUGCGCAAUGGCAAGAAAUAUCUAAUUGCACAAUAUUGUGAAAUAUCAAAAAAAAAUUUAAUUAGAGUUAUCUUUCUUUGUCCAGAAUAGUAAGCAAGAAAUAUCUAAUUGCAAAAUAUUGUGCAAUAGCAAGAUUUUUUUUAAAUUGGAGUUAUCUUUCUUUGUCCAGAAUCAACUUAAAUCUUUGUUAUAUACAAUAUACAAUGUAUAUUCACUUUUUACUACCAACUGAUAAAUUAAAAUAAUCUUUACCAUUCAGUGAUAACAAGCAGUUUUUUACAUCUUAAUAUUUUAUGAUGUAUUUAAAUGAGUAGUUAUUGUUGCAAACUCCAUUAGAAAUUUUAAUUGAGAUUAGUUUUGGAAUAAGGGAAAGGGGGAUGUGAUUAAAAAAAAUUGGGUUCAAUUUUUCUCAUUUGAAAUUUCAUAAAUAAAAAAGAAAAUUUCUUCAAACAUUUUUUUGAGAGGAUUAAUAUUCAACAGCAUAGUGAAUUGCUCUAAGAGAAACAAAAAUUUUAAGUUCAUUAGAACACAUUCAUUCUGUGUCAGAAACCUAUGCUGUGUCAACUAUUUAAUCACAAUCAAAAUUUAGAGCUGAAUCCAGCUUGAAUGUUGUGUCCAUACUUGCCCUAACCGUUCAGGGUUCAACCUCUGCGGUCGUAUAAAGCUACGCCCUGCGGAGCAUCUGGUUUUAUCCUACAUUGAUCUUUUAAUGUCAUCCCUAAGUUAAUCAAUGUUUUCUCUCAUUGACUAUGGUCAGUCCCAAAGUGUUAACAAGACAAAAUGAUUCUUUGUAAAAAGAUGCUAUUAAAGAUGAUUCUCUUCUUUGGAGAUCAACAAACAAAAUAUUUUUGUUUUACAGAAAUGACAAGAUGAACACAUAACGCCCAUUUCCGUAAAAACGAGUUCGGGGACAUACCAAUUUUAUUAGCUCAUUAUAAUGCAAAUAGUUAAAUCCUAAAGUUAACAGUUUUUUACAAAAACGGUGGACCCGGAAAAAGGAUAUUUUUUGCUUUUUCGUUGCCAUGGCAACGGGUCUUAUAACCCAAAAAUUCAAAAAUCUUGUUUUUAGGAACUUUUUAUGAUUUUUUUAAUUAAAAUUUAUUAUUAAUUAAUGGACCACAAUUAUUUAUACAUGUUUUGUUCAGUUUUUAUUUUUUUAUAGUCACUCGCAUACAUUAUUAUUUCAGAAGAAUUCAAAUACAAUUUUCCCUAAAUAUCGUAAAAAAUUGGAAUUUUGAGCUUUUCACAUGAAAAAACUGGACCGGCGAUGUUUGAUAAUUUUUCAUUAAAUGAUUGGGUACUCCUCCCUGAACAAAAUGAUGUAUCAUAUUGGUGUAAUAUCACUAAGAAAAAAAUCCAGGUUUCAUGCAAACCUUACCUUAACAUAAAAUUAAAAAAAGUAAUUUUUUGAUAAACAAAAUUACUAGCCUGCUUUGUAUAAGGUGAAUCUUCCUAUUACAGGAUUCCAGAAUAUGCCUGGACAACAGGUCAGACCUGGCAAUCCUGCAGCGGCUGGAGCAAGACAACCUGGUCAAGGUAACAUCCGUGGUGGCAUGAAUGCUCGUCCAAUCACAGGACAGUCUGGCACUGGACAACCACCUCGCAUGCCACAAUCUGUACCAGGCAGAGGACAAGUGCCACCCCCAGCUGGAGUAAUGAACCCCGCCAGCAGGUACUCAGCUACACAGAUGAGAAACCCACCUCAAGCUGGCAGACAACAAAACAUGGUUAUGCCACAGGUAGGAGGAACAUUUAGUUCAGAAUAUACAGUAAGGCAUUAAUUAGAUUUCAGCAUGAUUCCUAAGACCCGAUAGAUUAAAUUUUUUUUCAAAAUUGUAGAAGCUGUGGCUUCCCUAAAAAAAGGGGCUAUUCAGUGUCUCUUUAAGGAGGAAAAUUUUAAUUUGGUUUUGCACCAGAUGAAAAUUAGAAAUGAAAGAUUGAAAGAAAAGAAGUGAAUAUAUGUUCAAUUAAACAAUUUAUAAUAAAAAUUAUCUACUGUCUAUAUGUUACAAAAAUAUUGUGUCUCUUAGACAUACAUUAUUGACUAGACAGUAUGGACUUGUAUAUAAAUAUUAUUCUAUUUCAGCCUCCAGCCCAAGGAGGAGUGAUUCAAGUUCAAGGUCAGGAGCCUCUGACCUCUACCAUGUUGGCUGAUGCCCCUCAACAGGAACAGAAGCAGAUGUUAGGAGAACGUCUGUUCCCUCUGAUCCAAAGUAUGUACCCAGACCUAGCUGGAAAGAUAACUGGAAUGUUGCUGGAAAUAGACAACUCUGAAUUGUUACACAUGUUGGAAUCCAAGGAGUCACUUGAGGCUAAGGUUUGUAGGACAAAUUAUUAAAAGGGAGAUGGUGUAGGAAACAUCUGUUUAACUGUAUGCUGUAAACCAACUUAUUUUCGAUUGCACUUUAGUUUACCCUUUAAAGUCCCAAUUACUUUAACAGCUAUUUUAUUUCACGAUUUUCUUAUUUACUUGAUGUAAUGUAUGAAGGAUAGAUUCAAGUUUCUCAUUCCCAUUAGUAAUGGUUUGAAAUUUAAAAUACAUGUCAGCUGAAUGUAUGUUAAGAAACAACCCAAAUUUAACUAAAUUUUUAAAUGUUUUCAUCGAGGAGCAUAUUUCCCCUGAAUUUAUUAAAUACGCUAAGAUUUUCUUACUUAAAUUCAUAGCAUUGUAAAUAAUACAUAUAAAAGAAAUUUUUCCCAUGAUUAUCUUGUUAAAAAUCACAUCAGGAUAGGUCUGUCAAUGUUGAUAGAAUUUUUUGUAUGUAGUAAUUCUUGACAUCGCUGUUAUUAAUCUACCAUAAUUUAUGUGUCAAUUGUUCAACAAAAAUGAAAAUGCAAUAUAUUUUUUCAGGUAAACGAAGCUGUUGCUGUACUGCAAGCUCAUCAAGCCAAAGAAACAACACCUGCCACUGAAGCAGCAAACUAAAGAGGGAACCAGGGAAACCGGAAUAGAGUAGAUCCUAAGGGCAGAUGAUUGGACAGAUUUUUUUGUUACCGUAACUACAAGCAUUUAUAAACUGUAUUGUCAGAGCUUUUGUUCAGAUAUGUUUGCCCACUUGUUUAUUAUUAUUGUACAUUUAUCUUGUAGUUAUAUAAUUUGGAUUGUUUUCUUUUUUCCAAAAAUUGUAAGAAAUAACCAUAUCGUCUCACUAUAUAUAAUUGGUUUGAAGCUACUGACAGCAUUUCAUAGCUUUCAGUAUUUUAAUUAUUAGGGAAAAUGUCAGAAUUUAAACUACUUUGUUUAUCAAAGAUAAGUUAAUUCAGUGUUAUUUCUUGAGAAAACAUUUUCAAAUUAUUAUCUAAAUAAGGAUUUAAAACAUUCGGUGUUAAAGUGAAAAUCUUGUUUUAAUUAUCUCCCUUGGUGAACCUCUUUUAAAAGGUUCCAUCCUGUAAGGAAAAUUAUAAAAAAAUAUUGUAAAAAAAAGAGAAAAAAAUGUGAAUUGAGAAAACUGCUCAUUAUAUACUGGUUUUUAACCGGGUAAGUAUGUAAACAAAUUAUUAGAUUAUUAACUUUAUCCUCCAUUGAUUGAAUUAAUAUGAAAAUACACAGCUACAUUGUGUAGUGUAGCUGUGAAAUAAAAAGUGUAAUAUAUUAUGUUAAAAAAAAACAACAAAAAAAUUGUAUAAAUUGUGUAAAAUAUGUGUAAAAAAUUAGAGUUUGUGUUAUGACAGUGGUUUUAAUUUUUCCCAUGCUUUCCGUCUUGGGGGAAACAUGCUUCUGUUUCAUUUCUACACUUUGUUUACUUUUUUGUACCUCCUUUAUGAAGAGCUCAUCACUCAUUGAAGAUUUUAAAGUAAAAAAUAAGACUGAUAAAACCAAUUAAACCAAUGAUGUGAUGUGUUCUUGUUCUGACCUCAUUUGAUUAAACUUUUGUCCAUUUGAACAGCUAAAAAAAAAGAAUUGAAUUAAAGGCUAACAAAAUUCAAAUGGAUGAGAAUAAGAUCAAACCAGAACAGAUUAGUGUUGUGUGUUUUAUAUAUUUUGUUAUUUUAGUUAUGCAACUAAGAAAAAAAUUGAUAAAAAUGAUGUUAAAAUAUAAACUAAAGAGACUUUACACCUACUACGUACAAACUUACAGAGAAGAGGGAAAUUAUCAGGAUUCUGUUAAUAAUCUACUAUGUUAUUAUAUAAAUAAAACUUCCGUUUCAAUAAUUAUAGAGUUUGUCUUAUUGAAUAAGCCAGUACAAUAUUGUUCUUGUUGCUUAACAUCCUUAAAAUAAGGCCUGAUACCUAUAUUAUAUACAGAUAAGUUUCAUCAAAUAAUUCGAAUGGAAUAAUGCACCUGUAUGCCUAUUAGUCCACAUUUAAUAUUAACAUUUUCUCACUAAUGUUUAUAUAUAAAAAAGAAGAUCUGGUAUGAUUGCCAAUGAGACAACUCUUUACAAUAGACUAAAAUGACACAGAAAUUAACAACUACAGGUCACCGAACAGCCUUCAACAAUGAGCAAAACCCAUACUGCAUAGUGGGCUCUAAACGGCCCAGGAAUGACAAUGUAAAACAAUUUAAACGAGAAAACUUACUAUGUAACUAUGUAUAAAAAGAAGAAACGAAAAACAAACGACAACCACUGAAUUACAGGUACAUACAUAAUAACCAAUUUGACAGGUCUGUCGCAACUUAAUAGCAACAUGUUUUCACUAAUUCUAUUCUUUGGAUACAAAAAAAGUUAAUCUGCAAUUUUGCUACGUGUGACAUUUUGAUUAGAGUGGUUUGGUGGGUAAUAAAUACAUAGCAGGAGAUAUUUGCCUUGUUGAUGCAUCCAGUCUUCCUCAUUUUGAAAUCUUAUAUAAUUUUUGUUUAAGCUAGAUAUGUCUUGAUCGAUUUUUGAGAUGACAUUGUUAAACUACUGUUGGUUGCUUUAAUAACAACCCAGCUCAAAACUAAUUAUAAAGAAAAUGGGAUAUUGUUUUACCUCAGUAUGUCCAAGGAGGUUAUAAGAGGAGAGGGGACCAACUACGAUUAUUAUACUUAAAUGCUACAGCCUUUUCUGUAAGUGGGUGUUAAGAAAUUAAGAUCAAAAUAACACAUUAGAAUAAGAGCAGAAACAGAAACACCCAAAAGUGUUAAAAACCGACCUAGAUUUUACAAAUUAAUAUUGAGCAUGAAAUAAUCUACCUCUGCAAGACGAACGGCUUAAUCAACUGGAAUUGCUUUGUAAAUGAUGUGUUUAUUUGGAAAUGAGAUUUAAAACAAAAUGUGCAAAAUCUGUUAAGCAUAGGCUUGCUUUUCUGUUGGAAGUUAAUUUUUUGGAAACAAUUAAGUACUUUCUAUUUGUUUUUUAAAUUAUUAUAACAACAGGGCAUAACCUAAAUAGAGUAUUUAUUAAGAAGAAAUCUAUAUUCUGUAUUGUCCAGGUAUACAAAUUUAGAGAUGUACCAAUCUACAUGACUAGCAGUCGUAUUGGUAUUAAUAAACAAAAUGCAUGGGUUAAUUUAACUAGUUUUUAAAAGCAGUGCUUUAAGGCCUGACUUUCAAGUCAUGAGGUACAUCUUUUCAUACGCGACAUCCAACAAAUCUAUGUAGAUGGUCAUUUGGCCAGAAAUAGAUCCGGAAAUGUUCAAUUUUCUCCUCUCCUUUUUCUGGUAAGAAAUUGUUUUUGUUUCUUUCAUUUACAUUGGGAAAUAAAAAAAACGAUCAGUGUGUAUUGUUUGUUUUAAAAACUUUUUGUUAAUGUGUAUUUUGCAUUAUAAGCAGUCAACCUGAUUACAAACUAUCAUUAUUUGAAUUCCGUGUGGAAAGAGGUCGGGUCAAUUCGAGUACUAUCUCGAUCUAAAGAUAUUUAAAAUCAUUCAGUCUGAUUGAUUAACAAUUAAAAGUCAUGCGCGUCUGGCGUAUUAAAUUAUAAUCCUGGUACCUUUGAUAACUAUUUACACCACUGGGUCGAUGCCACUGCUGGUGGACGUUUCGUCCCCAGGUAUCACUAGCCCAGUAUCAACACUUCGGGGUUGACAUGAAUAUCAAAAUGUGGUCAUUUUUAUGAAUUUCCUGUGGUACAAAAGUUAGAAUGUUGUCAAAAACUAAGGAUUUUCUGUCCCAGGCAAUGAUUUACCUUAGCCGUAUUGGCACAACUUCUUUCACAUCAAACAUCCAAUGGAUUAGUUAAAAGACAUCAUAAACAGCAGAGAAAAAUAUGACUGUGCAAUCCAGUUACAGGUAGCGACAGAUAGUAACUUCCAAAAUGUAUAUAUAUAACAUAUUAGUAAAAUUAAGUUAGCUUUAAUCUACUGAUAACAAAAUCAAUAUUUAUUCCAAUAAAAACAAUAUUCAAGUACUUAUUACGGUGUUCUGAAUAGGUAGAACUUUUAGAAUAAGUUUUUUUUAAGAGCGACAAGUACUACAUGGGAUCUAUUCUAAAUUCGGCCACGUUAACAACAUUUCCGUAAUAAAUGAGGAUGUCUAUCUUGUGAAAUAAGUUUCUACAGUCUACACUCCAAACUCAAAACCAAAUCUAUAUCUAUGGAAAAUUAGUAAAGGUUUUCAGUUAAUUAGGUACGAUAUCCCUGUCUUAAUAAUUACCAGUAAUACAUAGGUUGCGUUCGUUAAAAUCAAAAAACGUCACAAACAGACCCGGCAAUACGAACAAGUUUGAAAUAUAAACACCGUAGAAGAGGUCCAAGGAACUCACCAUCUAAAAUGGAAAAUUAACAUAGGAACGAAAAAUCGUCUCUUUUGUCGUAAAUUAGUGUGGAGUUUCCCAUUUAAAACCGAAAUAUCUAAAUCCAGGAAAGGACAGUUAUUACCGAAUAAAUUUGAUUUAUUUAAAGUAAGUUCCUUUGGGUAAAUUUCAGCAGUAUAUUGAGAAAAUUCUUGAUUAUUUAACGAAAAAAUAUCAUCAAGAUAACGGUAAGUGUUUGAAUUUAUCAUUAAAUGCAUUUCGACGGGUCUUUACUGAGUUUAGUCAUAAACUGUGCUUCGUACAGUACAAAAACAAGUCUCUAUUUAAGGGCACAAUUAGUGCCAUGGAUACCCACAACCUGUCGAUAAACUUGUUGCCGAAACGUACAUUAAUAUUCAAGGAGAAAAUAACAGCUUCAAUCAUCUCAUCACACCUCAGUAAGUAUAUCUAGCAUAUUAUCUUCUCAUUAGAGAAGAGCUUUAAUGAGUGCAGCAAAUAUAUCUACAUUCAGCUUACCAACGACAUUUAAUUAAAUAGGAAAACUUUUGUUUAAUAAGAUAGUGUGGAAGUGUAGUAUAAAGAGUAGAAAAAUAAAAAACUAUUAACAGAAUCAAAAGGACCAUCAAAAGCCCGUAAUUUAUCUCAAACAUCCAAAGAUUUUUUUACACUCCAAAAAUGGUUUAUACCACUAUGUUUAUAUAUUUUAUUACAAUAGUUUAUGAUAAGCUCUUUAAUAGUAGUUAAUGAACUAGUUAAGAGCACUGACAGAUUAGUUGAAGAACACUUACUAGAGGCCGAGAUGAAACGAUAUUUAAAUGGUUUUUUGUGUAGUUUAGGUAGCCAAUACAUAGUAGGGACCUUCAAAUGUUCAGAAGAAGCCUUAAGCUUUGAUGUGGUUGUGAUAUGCUUGUUUACUAUAUGACUCUCUGUGAAGCGGAUGGACUUGAAUGUAGAUGAAUUAAAAAUUUCAUUCUUAAGAACGUCCGUGUAGUAUUUACGUCAUACCACCACCACAUUGUUGGCUGCUUUGUCAGCUGGUACAAACACAAACCGCUUUGAAAGUAUUUGAAGUUUAUUUCUUAUUCUGGAAAUAGGUGUAUUAUGUACUCUAUUAUUUACUUCUAAAUUAUUUUCAAAAUGUGAAAAGUAAAAUCACAAAAAUACUGAACUCAGAGGAAAAUCAAUUCGGAAAGUCCAUAAUCACAUGGCAAAAUCAAAUAAACAAAACGCAUCAAAACGAAUGACAAAACUUUAUAUCCUGACUGUGACAGCAUUUUCAAAUAGAAAAGGUGAUGUGAACUGUUGUAUAGCUAGUAAACCUCUCACUUGUAUGACAGUCGCAUCAAAUUCCAUUAUAUUGUCACCGAUGCGUGAACAAAACAAACAGACAUAAUAGGUAAAAAUGUCAAAAAAUAGGGGCACAGCAGUCAACUUUGUGUUAUCAUCUUAAUCACUAUAAAAACAACAAAUGUAUCAAAGAAGCACAAAAAGGCAUACAUCAAAUUAACAUCCUCAUUUUGAUUAUAUUAUACGAUUUUAUUUGUCUAUGCAAAAUGCACCCAUCAAGGAAGGAGGGUUUUCAAUACUGGUGUAAAAUUGCGCGUUUGAUAUUCUCUUAUCUACCACAUCAUACAUUUAUUAAAAUAAGAAUCAAGAGAUUUUUUUAUCAGAUUUUUCCCGUUACACAUUUUUACAAAAACGAGGAAAGAGCAUCUUUGGUGACUUGACGACAUUCUUUCCAAUCUAUUUAGAUGGAAGACGAUAUUUUGGUCCUUUUAAAAGUUUUGUUAACCUCUCUGUCCUGGACGAUAUUAGUCCCCUGUAUAUAACCAUGGCCAUAGUGGAACAUUCUUAAUACCUGACGAUUCACAGUUUCAAGUCUAAGGAGUAUUACUAUCUAUAUCACGUCUAAUUAACCGAUAUACAUUAAAAAUUAAACUUCAUGUUUGUUUUUGUGUGUAUGAAAUUAUAGGUGUUCUAUAUUAUCAAAAUAGGGAGUAAAAGUUUAACGGUAGAGUCAUUAAAUACACUAGAUAAGGUGAUAAAAUCAAUACCAUUUGCUAUAUAUUUAAUUUUCAAAAAAUGACGUUUAUUGAUUUUCAGGUUUGUCGAUACGGGGAACAGCCUAUGGGGCAAAAAGCUGUAAUUAAUACGAGAAUCAUACAGUGGCUAAGAAUGAGAUGUGUCACACUCUUUGAAAAUAUCGUGUAAUUUUACUAAUGGUAUUGACCAGUUUACAUAAUAAUUGAUGCUACCAUAUUUUUAAAUACAGAUAGGAGAUUAUCAAGUGUAUAAUUUAUACGAUGUUUAACUCGUUGAUUUCGGUUGAUACGUUUCCCGUGAGACCUAUUAUUUCGUUGUUUUUUAUCAAUAAUAUUCAUGAUAUCAAUAGAGGAAGUAGUAGAUAUGUUCCCUUGUCCAAGUAUAUUGUCAUUUAGACCCAGGGGAUAAGCUGUUUGAAGUCGUUUAAUCCAAGACAGUUCGAUAAUUUUACGGGAAUCUUCAAAUUGUUUAUGCGACUGCCCUUGUUGUUUCUGGACCGUUUCGAGCGGUUGAAAUCUAAUAAAUUUAAUAUUGUGGUUGUGUUUACCUAAAUGUUUAUAAUUAUGCUUUUGAAUUCUAGGGUUUUCGGAAGCGGUAUAGAUGUUCCUGUGUUCCGUUUAAAAAACUCCGUCCUGUUUGUCCUACAUAUUGUAUACCACACUUGGCUUAGUUCAUGUAACCAGAUAAAUGAGGCCCUGGGUUUUUCAUUGGUAUGUCACAGGAAAAGGAAAAGCGAAAGCUCUCCCGUUCAACUGUGACCUUAUAGAUUCAUCAGAAGAUAUCUAGAACAGGUUUGUUCAUUUCUGCAUUGCACGAAAUAUUUGUGGAUAUCCACUGCAUGUUUAUUGAAUAAUCUGGCUGCAGCAGCAUUGCCACCAGUUAACACAAUUAUAAAAACUGCUAAAUUUAGAUGGGAAUUUCGAUGACGGCGUAGAAUUUAUAUUGGAUAAACGUUUUAUAGCACGUAAUAUCCUUGAGGGAUUGGAGUUUAGUGUUUUCUUACCAUUUCGUAAAAUCAUGAUUAUUUAAAGGGUUAUGAGAAAAAAAUGAGGCCGAAAGUCAUAACAUUGAAUUAAGAGUUACAGUAACGGAAUAUAUAAACAAUUUAUAACACAGUCGAAGAAUUCUUAUAAAAACUAUAUUGAACAGCCCGACAAACAAUGGCGUAAUAUAACAAGACAGACAUGAAACAAAUAUAGUCUGAGAAAACAGGUUAUGAUAGUGAAUUAAUCUAUAACAGAAAAACAACAAAAAUCUUAACAAAAUUAGCACGUGGCUAGAUUCAAAAAAUAUUUUUAAAGUAUAGUGUAUAAUUUUGGACACAAUCCUAAUUAAUGACCUUUUCCAACUAGACCAGAUCACUAAUAUAUUAACAUAAUACUACUUAUAACUGGUUAUACAUUUAAUUUCCAUACAUUAUGACUAUAUAUGCAUAAAAUAUAAGGAAAUAAAAUGAAAGGUAUGAAUCAAAUGUAAAAACUCCGCAUUAGAACUAAUAUCCGAGACAACGAAAAAAGGACGAUAACUGUGUCUCGGACCUAUUAAAGGCUAAUACAAGAAAAUACAAGAACUCUAGUAAGCCAUAGAAGGGGGCACAUAAAAAAAUACAGUAUAAGAAAAUAGAUCAUUAAUCAUGAAUAAUAGAAUAAGUACAGUUUUUAUCACAAGCCAAAAAAAAAUCCUACUGUAAUAUAAGGCAUUACACUACAGGCACGGGGACACAUUCUACUGAAUCCACACAGCACGAGUAACAAACCUGCAGAAAUAUAAAAAAGAAGAUGUGGUAUGAUUGCCAAUGAGACCAACUAAUCAUUCAUACAUCAUUCAUUGCAUGCAUGCAUUCCAUGCACAUUGCAUUCAUGCAUGCAUUCAUUUCAUGCAUUCAUCAUUCAUGCAUUCACUCAGCACAUUCAUGGCAUUCAUCAUUCAUUAUUCAAGGAAUGUAUAUUGAAAAGAAUGAAAACGCGGUUCGAGAUCAAUCGGGAUACCUCAGAGCACCCGCAGAGCUAUACACAUUGCCCGACAGAAGUAUGAUGUAUAAUAUAAAGAUCAUGACGGAGUCUUUUCUUGUCAUAAAAAUCGGUCUUUUAAGUUCACAGGGCUUGUGCCUGAGGAUAUAUAACGGAGAGAGAAACCUAAAUCAAGAAUAAACUUCUAUCCAUGAAAAGGUAAGGCCUUAAGAUAAUCAUUUAAUGCCUUGACCAUACGUUGCAAAUAUUCUAAUGGAAAAUUCUUAUUAAAAUAGACCUCGUUUGAAACCCUGAGAGAGGUUUCAUCCAGAUUACAAAAUAAAAAUACAGUGCUUUGAUCCUUUUUCUAAAGCUCGACAACUACUAAGCAAAUUAAAAUAGUGAGCAUUUAUUCUCGAGUGUAAUAUACUUCAUUCCGAAAACGUACGAUAGAAACAAUCCGUUCCAUAACAAUAAUAAAAACACUCCUAUUACCGCAAUAACCUCACUCAAGAGGAAAAUCUACUCGUGUUUAAACAAGUACAAAAUUCAAGAAAGAUUCAAAUCGAUUUGUCAUAUAGCGUCGUUCGUGCAUAACUAGGAUCGUAAUUGGUGCGACAGUCUGACAAAGUCUGGAAACACAACUGCCGCCGGUACUAUAUAUUAGGAAAGAUCUGACGACAAAAAAUCUACUUUUUUAUUAGUAGUUAUUUCUUUUAUCUUUUUGACAAGGACGGUUAAUAUAAGGAACCUUGUUUCCGAAUCCUUAGUAAUAAUUGUAUCACUGUUAUUUAUAUGUGUAAGUCAUGUACAUGAUUUUUUGAAAAAAAAUUUUUAAAGUAAAAUAGUGAUAUCAUUAUGAAACUGAAAUCAUUUCUAGCAUUUGCCGUUUUAAGUUUCUGUGAAAAUGUCUGAAUUUUUCUUCGAUUUUUCCGAAAUUUCAAGUUUUUGAUUUCCAUUAUUCCGUCAAAAAUGUCUCUCAUCUUUACUACAAAAAAUCAAAAGUCUGAAAAGACCAGUUUUUGUUCUGAAUUGCAUGAAUUUUUCUCGACAUUCUUAAUUUGUCUGAAUAAUUUUAAAAAUUCUUGACAUAGUUUGAAUUUGUCUUAUAAGGUUCUUGAUUUUUCUUGACAAGUUUCUUGACAGUAUGAACAUUGUCUUAAAAUUUCUCGACACUUCCUGUAUCAUCUGAUAAGAGUCUGGGUUAGUCUCGACAAAUUCUUGACUGUCUUAAAUUUGUCUCGAUCUGUCUUGACAUAUUCUUGACAUUCUUAAUGAUGUCUGAAUGUGUCUUGACAUAUUCUUGACGUUCUUAAUAAUGUCUGAAUGUGUCUUGACAUAUUCUUGACAUUCUUAAUAAUGUCUGAAUAUGUCUCGACACAUUCUUAACAGUCUUAAAUAUGUCUUGACACUAUCUCAACAGUAUAAAUUUAGCCUGAAAUGUGAACAGACUUAUUCUGCACUGUCUAUGCCAUUCUAUUGCUGUUACAUACUCCUUUAUAUCAUGGCUAAACUAAACGUUUAAGAAUACAGGAUUAAUUUCGUACAGCAAGAUACCCUUUUGGUUCAACUAAGUUUGAUUACCUUGAAUAACCUCCAUGUAGUUUACUUUUGAUUUAUUUUUAUUAAACGUUUAAUAUAUUGCUUUCACUUGGAAUAUAAGUCGAAGUUACUGACAAUCAGCAUUGAGAUUUAUGCCGUUCGAAAAACGGACCAUGUUAUAUUCCAAUAGAUGUAAUUACACAAUUUUUUCUUCUGUUAAAUGAAUAAUUUGUAUAUCAUCAUAAUUUACUAUUUAUAUAUACCACCUUUUGGUACAAUAAUUAUUUACCACAUUAACAUUGAAUAUUAUGAACGUAGAAUGAAAUAUGUCUACUAGACAGUAUGAUUGGUUUUGAUCAUUUCAUUUAUAAGAUUUAGAAAUUAAAAUUUGUAAAUUAAAAAACCCACAUUUAUUUAAACUGUUUUAUAUCAACACACCCACAUUUAAAUUAUUUAUACAAUAGAUUCCAUAGCCAUAUUUGCAUUUGUAAAAAUAUUUAUAUACCCAAAUUUUCAAUUAUUUUACAUGCCCAACUUUUAUUUUUGUUGUAAGAAGUGUUAUAUAAAGAGAAAUAAAGAUUAAAAUUAUAUCAUAUUGGUCAUGAUUUGUAAAACUCAGAACUGUCAAGUAAAUUUAAGACACAAUUAAAAAUAUUCAGAAUAUGUCAAGCCAUACUAAGAAAAAAUAAGAAUGUCGAGAAUAUGUCGAGAAAUUUCAAGACAGUAUUCAAAUGUUGAGAAUUUGUCAAGAAAUUUUAAGACCAUAUUAAGAAUGUAAAGAAUAUGUUGAGUAAAUUUCAUACAAAUUUCAUAUAAAUGAGAAUUUGUCAAGAAAAAUUAAGACACAAGUCAUGCUUUUGGAGAAUAUCGAGUAAAAGUUCAUGCAAAUUCAGACAAAAACUGGUCUUUUCGACAGACUUUUAUACCAUUGUAGUGCUUGGAGCGUAAUACGAGUUGGUCAAAAUAUUGGAAAGAAGAAAGAAAUCUUUUUUCUAUCACAUAGAGUUGGUUAUAUAAAAUAGGUGAUAACAACGAAUUUGCUAUGAUUUUUCAAAAUCCCAUGUUUAUAGUUCAUAUUGACGCCAUUUUCCUCAGUCAAGUUCCACACAAAAGAAGUCAGAAAUUACAAUCAAGAAAUGUAUAUAAGACUUCCGAUUGUAUAUAUUGAUUUUUAUACGAUUUUAUUCAUUUAUUUUGUUUUCAAAUACUAUUUUUAUACUUGGUCUUUGUUUGGUAUUGCAGUUUACAAUUAUUAAGCUUUAAUAAUAGUCCUAGACAAACAUUUUUUUAGUUAAUUAUUUUGGUGACAAAUCGUUGUUAACGUCUUUUUCCUAUGAUAUGUGGUCGAGUAUUGGCUCAUUGGCUAUUAUACUACAUAACCAAUCGUCUGUGGUAUAGUGUGACAAUUAUCCAACAACGCCUAAAAGUAAUGGCGACGAUGUUCGCAACUAUAUGUCAUCCUUUAGGAUCACACUAAAUCUGUAUAGCCAGCAUAAAUGUUCUUGAUAUGUCAAAAUGAAAAGCAAUGAAACUAAAACCAAAAAGAUGAGGUUUAUAUUAAAAAACAAGAACUAAAAAUACCUAACCUUAUUGUAGAUACCCACCAGCACAAACCACUGAAAUGCAAGCUCCUGACUUGUUAUAGGCACAUACAGAAUAUUUGGUUUAUUUAUCUAAUACUUUCUUCUUAUUUACAUAUAGCUCUAAAUCAAAUUAUUUUGUUCUUAACCAAAGACAUUCAAUAUAGUUGUAAAUUAAAACAUUUGAGCCAGUCCAUGCGAAAAGGUACAUAAAAAGUCCCUUUGUAACUUUACAGACAGCGUUAUCAAAGUUUGCUAUGAAGUAUUUUUUGAAAAACGAUUUUAAUCCGAAAAAAAAUUACAGUUAAGUAAACAUUCAUAAGAUUGUCAAUUCAUCCCGAAUUGUCAAGCUAAAACCGAACAAAGACGUAGAAAUAUCUUGAAUUUUUGGUAUGACAAGCUUGUAAAAUCUUUGUUCCCCGACUAAUGCUAUACCGACCAGAAACUACAAAAAAUUAUGACACUACAGAGACAAAAGUCAAUAAUUUCCGUCAGUUCUACAGGUUUAAAGAAAGAAAGACAACAUGAAACAUGAGGGAAAAUUCAAAAACUAUGACAUCUUGUCUUUUAGAAAUUGAAAUUUAAAUUCAGUUAAGUUAUUUAAUAUUAUAUAAAUCAAUCCUUAGUUAAGUUAAGUACUUAAAUUAUAUCACGUUAAGUAAGUUAAUUAUUUAAUAUAUAUGAUAAUCAACCUUAGUUAAGUUAAGUUUUUAAUAUUUAAUUAUCACCUUAUUCACGGGAUUUCGAGACGUUGCCGCGUUUGAUUGCAUGAUUGUCCGCAUCGUAAGCGAGAGCACUUAAUCCGUCCGCACGGCUACCGAGGUUUUAAAACGUAUAAAUGCAAAGUCAAGUCCAGUUUAAACUGUCUUGAAAGAUCGUUGGAAAAUAAUAUGAAAUAAGUCACUAAAAUAUUGAUAAAACUAGGGGGCGGGGGGGGGGGGGGUUUCUCAACACCGCAAGAGUGCGUGUAGCUCACAUGAUAUAAUGAGGAAAGUAAAUGUGUUUUAUAAAUCACAAGUCUACUACCAAUAAUUAUGCACACUUUUUAGAAUUUCGUAAAUUUUUCGUGUUUGUACCUUUUCGCAUGGACUGGCUCAUUUAGUUCUUACCAAAGACAUUCCUGUACUUAAACAUUUGUUAAAUGAAUACAUUUUUUCAAGUACGGUAACUAAUUCACCGAUCGGCAACCAAAAUAGACAGAUUUUAAAAGACAGAAACCUUAAUAUCUGUAAGAAAUGUGUCAGUUUUUCAGUUAAGUGUCAACAUUUUUGUCUGCCGUAAACGCAGUACAGUUACGACAUUUCGCGAGAGCUUGCAGUCACUUUGGAUAUUAUUGUCAUUCUUUUGACAGAAUGUUUAGUAACUGCAAAUUUACCUAUAAUAUACAUGAAAUAAUCAACAUCCUGAAUUGUCUGUUUGCCAAUUACCGUUAUUGACUUUUUAUUACAGAUCAUUUUUUUAGUUGUCUUUUUUUAGGAGGAACAUAUAUUUUGUUGUCAAAAUGUAGCAGAAAGAGCAAAUUUGUGCAAAAUGUUAGUGCCUUUUAGAUUUUAAAAAUCUUUUCAAUACAAUUAAUUGGUUGUUUAGCAAUAUUCUCUUGAUUACAGAUGUUGUUUGUCGCUAAGUUUUGGUGAAAAAGCUGAGAUAUCACUUUCAACUUAUCACACUUCGAGUCGGAAAAGCCAAUUUGUCCGGUCAGAACUAGUCUACGAACUUUAUCGGAAAUAUUUCAUUGGACAUAUAACAGUUUGACAAACACCAAUUGUGACCAAUGAGAAGCUCAUAAUUACAAAAUUAUCUCCCUGUGGUGUUAUGUACCAUCACAAUAAAAAUCCUAAUUAUCUUACCUGUUCAAUACUGUUCAACUAAAAGGACUUAUAGCAUAAUCUAUAUCAUACGCAUUUUACAAUGUGUAUCAUAUACACUCUACAAUUAUAUAAAUAAAUAUAUAUAUACAUAAACAUUCAUAUAGCAUUUUUGAUAUAUAAAGAAAAAUAAAAAAAUUACUGACGAAGAAAAAUUGAAAAUUAAAUAUUUGGCCGACUUUGAUUUGAUUAUUUUAUCUUCCUUUCGAUUUUUUGUGUUAAAUUUGAAAAACGGAAAUAACCUAUUAAUUCUUUAUAUGUCUUAAACAUAUUACUCCAUGGUCUUUAAAGGAAAAUGUAAGUGCUUGGUAUUUGUACAGUUUUUCUGAGCAAUGAAUUCCAAGACUACAUCUUUGAAUUCUAACCCACAGGGAAUUUUAUGGUCGUAGUAAAUAAAUAGAGAAAUCGAAAAUAAUACUAGAAAAAUAUUUUUCGACGUUUUCUGAACCCAACUUUUAUUUAACAUAAUACUGACAUGCUGAUGUACAAUUAUAAUUUCAUAUGUAGUGUUGUUUUAUUUAUGAUCGUAUGGACAGAUUAUCCAAUUCAUAAAUUCCUUAAAAUGUUUAGGACGUUUUUUUAUUUACUUUUCAUUUUGAGGACUGAAAAGGGGAAAAAUAGACCUUCAUUUAAAUGACUUUGGUUGCUAUUAUGUUCAGGUUAUAUUAAGUGGCUUCCGUGCUAGAUUUUUCUGUAUCGGUAUGUACAGUACUUUAAACUUUCAUAUUUCUUUUUGAUUAUUAAAAUUACCGGGAACCCUACAUUACUGCAAAAUUACCAUAUAAACAAUUAAUGAAUGUUUUUUUGUGUUAUCUCCAAAAUUAAGCCAGAUCAUGGAUAUAUUUUCAAAACGCAAUAAUUUCCCUCGUAAAGAAAAAUGAUUUAUCUGUUAUCAAAAGUAUCAGUGUAUAACAUCCUUUUUUCCUGUAUUUAUUUUCUUAGUUAUUUAUGCAGCUCAAAAUUUAAACAUCUCUUCAAUAUGUGACUGUCAAGGAAAUAUAACGUAUUUGAUUGAGUUUUGUUUGACAGCCUACAGGUAUGUGAGUCAGAUUUUACGUGCAUAAUUUCAUUGGGAUUUUAGUUUCACCCUGUUUCUGAUACGAUGAUUGUGAUGUUACAUAAUAGAUAUGAAAUUGAUUUUAGGUGAAUCCUGCUACUGCUAUAUUAAGUCAGAUUGUUGUGAACUUACGUCUUUAUAAUACAAACGGAUCUGCGCGGGUGAUUUCUUACAUGGGUGUUCACAACAAGUGUUUGUCUCAUUAAACAAUUACCACAACUUUGUACAAGGCAGUAACGUUUUAUGCAAACAACUUUUUUAAAAAUACAAUACUUUAUUAUCAAUACACAAUAAAUAUACAAAAUUUAUUCACAGGAAUACGCGAAAAAAUAAUUACAAAUGAACAAUCAACGUUAAUGUGUUUGAAUUGAAAAUCGCGAUAUAUUUAACAAACGAAACUUCGAUCUAAAGAUAGGCAAACUAUAUAUUAAGAACUUGAUGCAGAUAUCAGCAAUUUGUGUGUAAUGCUGUUUACCUUUUGUAAAAUAUAAUAACCAUUAAAUCUUUAAUUCCAACGUCUAUAUAGAAACAAUUUCUCUCUUCAAAACUAGAUAAACAAUUGCUGGGUGGAAGUUGACGUCAACAAUGGGAAAGUGAAAUUAGUGGAAUAAAUAUAACGUAACUUUGUGUAAAUUGUAUUUUCACAACACUGCCCCUACUUUUCAAAAAAUCGUUUCGCCCUCGAAAUUAAAACAAAACAUAAAAGUACUGUAUUUACAGUAAUAAAUAUCAACAAUAACGACAAAAACAAUAUGCAAAAGUUCUCUUCUCUUGACAUUAAACGUUGCUGUGCUUUAUUUAAUUUCUUUGAACCAAAGGCUAUGGUUAUUUAUUGUCCAUCUUGCACUUGUGACAAAACUGCUUCGAUGCCUUCAUUAGAUUCAUCUGUAAUCAAAAUGAAUGGUAACGGUGGAUUUGAAUAUGCUAAGACUGGUGUUAACAUUAAAGCAUUCUUUAACUUAGUGAAAGCUGCUUUAUAAUCUUUUGUUCAUACAAACUUGACAUUGUUUCCUAUCGGCGGUGAUGCAUUGCGAAAGUACAAUUUACACAACGUUACGUUAUAUAUUAUUCCCAUACUUUCACUUUCCCAUUGUUGACGUCAACUUCCCCCAGCAAUUGUUUACCUAGUUUUGAAAAAUGGUUUUGAAGAGAGAAGUUGUUUCUAUGUAGACGUUGGAAUUGAGGAAUAAGAAGAUUAAAUGGUAUAUUAUAUUUUACAAAAGGUUUUCAUGUAGACGUUUGGAUUAAUGAAUAAGAAGAUUCAUAAUAUAUUAUAUUUUACAAAAGGUAAACUUUACUUUUUGUAAAAUAAAAUAUACUAUUAAAAUAAACAGCAUUACACAUUAUUUAACUGAUCUCCGCCUCAAGUUCUAAAUAUAUAUUUUGCCCUAUUUAUAGAUCGUAGUUUCCCCUGUUAAAUAUAGCGCGAUCGGCAAUUCAAAUACAUUAACGUUGAUUGUUCAUUUGUUAUCAUUUAUUCGCGUAUUCCUGUAUGAAUAAACUUAUUGAAUAUUUAUUGUGUAUUGAUAAUAAAGUAUUGUAUGUUUACAUGCUGUUCGCAUAAAACGUAAUUGCCGUGUACAAAGUUGUGGUAAUAAUUGUUUAAUGAGACAAACACUUGCUGUGAACACGCAUGUAACAUUUUACCAUGUUCACUCGCUCGGACCCGUUUGUAUUAUAAAGAAGUAACCUCACAACAACUGAUGGCAGCGGUGGGAAUAAUUUAAAAUCCGUUUAAAUAAAGAUUGCAAAAGUUUUCAAGGCAGUUUUUAGCUUUUGGUUUUGUUUUCUUCGUUCAGAAAUUUGUCGUAAUAUUUAACCGAAUUUAAAACUUUUUAAAACUGUUUUGGCUUUUAGUUUUAAGUUCACUUGAUCCUUAAUUUCUAGACUUUAUAGUGUAUAUUUCGCUUUGGUCUUUGAAAUUUGUCCUUUUGUUCCGCGUUUCCCGCGUAUCAAAAUUGUUCAAAGCAUUCAUUGGCCUUUGGUUUCGAACCCUUUCCCCCUUUUUCCUUUACUUCGCGUUAUUUUGAUUCAAAACUUUUCAAAGCGUAUUUAGCUAUUGGUUUUGAAAUAUCGUAUUCGUGUUACUAGUAUUUUAAUUUUCAAAACUUUUCAAGGCAUAUUGCUUUUGGUUUUGAAACAUCGUGUUCCGCUGAUUUGUAAGGUCUUUCAAAACUUUUCAAAGUGUAUACGUAUUUAGCGUUUUGGUUUGAAAUUUAACUGUAGGGCUAGAAUUACUUUUAUACUUUUUAUAGCUGAUUUAGCUAUUGGUUUUGAAGGUGUUUUUUAUAUGAUCGAAUAAACAUUUAAAAUCCUUUCAAGGUUGUAUUAGCUUUUAGGUUUGGAAUUUUUCAGAUGUGAAUAAUAUUGAGUAAAUCGUGAUUUAAGUAUCGUGUUUAGACAUUUUUGUUUUGUAACUAAAGUGUAAAAAAGCGAAUUUAUAUUCCUUGCGAAAUACUACGAGAAAUACAAACGAAAAGUUUUUUAGAAAUUUUUUUUUUUUCAUUCAAAAUCGUUUUCAAAUAGAUAUAAUGAUGGCUCGACGUCGUACAAAGUUCAUUGAUAAAAAUGNNNNNNNNNNNNNNNNNNNNNNNNNNNNNNNNNNNNNNNNNNNNNNNNNNNNNNNNNNNNNNNNNNNNNNNNNNNNNNNNNNNNNNNNNNNNNNNNNNNNNNNNNNNNNNNNNNNNNNNNNNNNNNNNNNNNNNNNNNNNNNNNNNNNNNNNNNNNNNNNNNNNNNNNNNNNNNNNNNNNNNNNNNNNNNNNNNNNNNNNNNNNNNNNNNNNNNNNNNNNNNNNNNNNNNNNNNNNNNNNNNNNNNNNNNNNNNNNNNNNNNNNNNNNNNNNNNNNNNNNNNNNNNNNNNNNNNNNNNNNNNNNNNNNNNNNNNNNNNNNNNNNNNNNNNNNNNNNNNNNNNNNNNNNNNNNNNNNNNNNNNNNNNNNNNNNNNNNNNNNNNNNNNNNNNNNNNNNNNNNNNNNNNNNNNNNNNNNNNNNNNNNNNNNNNNNNNNNNNNNNNNNNNNNNNNNNNNNNNNNNNNNNNNNNNNNNNNNNNNNNNNNNNNNNNNNNNNNNNNNNNNNNNNNNNNNNNNNNNNNNNNNNNNNNNNNNNNNNNNNNNNNNNNNNNNNNNNNNNNNNNNNNNNNNNNNNNNNNNNNNNNNNNNNNNNNNNNNNNNNNNNNNNNNNNNNNNNNNNNNNNNNNNNNNNNNNNNNNNNNNNNNNNNNNNNNNNNNNNNNNNNNNNNNNNNNNNNNNNNNNNNNNNNNNNNNNNNNNNNNNNNNNNNNNNNNNNNNNNNNNNNNNNNNNNNNNNNNNNNNNNNNNNNNNNNNNNNNNNNNNNNNNNNNNNNNNNNNNNNNNNNNNNNNNNNNNNNNNNNNNNNNNNNNNNNNNNNNNNNNNNNNNNNNNNNNNNNNNNNNNNNNNNNNNNNNNNNNNNNNNNNNNNNNNNNNNNNNNNNNNNNNNNNNNNNNNNNNNNNNNNNNNNNNNNNNNNNNNNNNNNNNNNNNNNNNNNNNNNNNNNNNNNNNNNNNNNNNNNNNNNNNNNNNNNNNNNNNNNNNNNNNNNNNNNNNNNNNNNNNAGGUUAACAUUGACUUUUAUGCAGAGGGUAUCUAAGGUUUAAAGCUGGGUGUGUGGAUGCUAUCUGAGGGAGUUGUUCUAGGUUUUAAAACUGACUUUUAAUGCACAGAGUGUUCUUAGGUUUAAACUUGACUUUUAAUGCACAGAGUGUGUUCUAAGGUUUAAACUGACUUGAAAUGCACAGACAGUGUUCGUAAGGUUUUAAACUGACUUUUAUGCACAGAUUGUUCUAAGGUUUUAAAACUGACUUUCUAUACAGAGUGUUCUAAGGUUAAACUGACUUUUAUGAACAGAGUGGUGUUCUAAGGUUUAAACUGACUGUUUUAUGCACAGAGCUGUUCUGAAUGGUUUAAUAACUGACUUUUAUGCAACAGAUGUGUUCUAAGGGUUUAACUGACUUUUAUACAGAGUGUGGCUAAGGUUUAAACUGACUUUUAAUGCACUAGAGUGGUUCUAAGGUUUAAACAUGACUGUUUUAAUGCAUGCAGAGUGUUGCUAGAGUUUAAACUGACUUUUAAUGCACAGAGUUGUAUCUAAGGUUUAAAACUGACUGUUAUGCACAAGAAGUUGUUCUAAGGUUUAAACUGACUUUUAAAUAAACAGAGUGGUCUAAGGUUUAAAACUUGACUUAUACAGAGUGUUCUUAAGGUUAAACUAACUUUUAAUGCACGCGAGAGUGUCUAAGGUUUAAACUGACUGUUUAUGCACAGGAGUGUUCUAAGGUUUAAAAAACUGACUUUUAAUGGCAACAGAGUGUUCUAAGGUUUAACUGACUUUAAUGGCACAGAGUGUUUCUAAGGUUAACUUGACUUUUAUACAGAGUGUUCUAAGGUUUUAAAACUGACUUUCUAUACAGAGUGUUCUAAAGGUUUAACUGACUUUUAAGUGCACAUCAGUGUUCUAAGUUUAAACGACUUUAAUAAACAGUGUUCUAAGGUUUUAAAACUGACUUUUAUGCACAGAGUGUUCUAAGGUUUUAAACUGGACUUUUAUAAGAGUGUUCCUAAGGUUUAACUGACUUUAUACAGAUGUGUUCUAAGGUUAAACUGACUUUAUACAGAGUGGUUCUAAGGUUUAAACUGACUUUUAUCAGAGUGCUUCUAAGUUUAACUGACUUUAUGCACAUGAGUGUUCUAAGGUUUAGAACUGACUUUUAAUAAAAGAGUGUUCGUAAGGUUAUUCUAAACUUUGACUUUUAGUACCAGAGUGUUCUAGAGGGUAAAACUGAUUAUGGACCGAGAGUGUUCUAAGGUUGGAAACUGACUUUGGGUAGUCACAGAGUGUUCUAAGGUGUAGAACUGGAUUUUAUACAGAGUGUGUUAAGGUUAAACUGACUUGGUCAUUGACAGAGUGUUCUAAUGGUUUAAGACUGACUUUUUGCACGAGAGUGUUCUAAAGGUUUAGAACUGAGCGUUUUAAUAAACAGAGUGUUCCUAAGGUUUUUUAAACUGACUCUUUAUGGCACAGAGGUUCUAAAGGUUUAAACUGACUUUGUCAUACACAGAGGUGUUUCCUAGAGUUUAAAAUGACUUUUAAUGCACAGAGUGUUCUAAGGUUUCAACUGACUUUUAUGAACAGAGUGUUCUAAGGUUUAAACUGAGUUUUAAUGCACUAACACAAAUCAAACAUAGUUAACAGGAGUGUUCUAUGUUUUGAUUCUGCAUUUUAUUAUGAUUAAUGCUAAAAGUAACUUUUAAUAUCCACUCAAAGGCACUGACAAAUGUCACAUAGUUCUUUUCAACGCCAAAACAACAAGGCAAUCACCCGUAUUUAUCUAUUUAUCGAAAACUCCCAAAGAAGAAAAAUUGCAACCCAUUCAAGCAAUUUCUACUACAAAUCUAAUAACGGUAGAUUAAUUGCCUAUAUCAUUGAUAGUUUCAGUACAAACCAAUAAACCACCCAGCAAAUAACAUAAUAUAAGAUUCUUACAACAUUAUAAAUACCCUGCCUACAAUCAACCAGCAUUAUCUCGGCUCAUCAUCAAGAUCCAUGCCCCACUAGUAACUGAGUUUGCACUCCACAUCAAACAAGCAACAAUAAUGUAAGAUAUCUCAAAAUUAUCUCAUCAACCAUUGGUUUUAAUUAACUUAGAAAUAUAAACACAUAAAGCUGACAUCUGAUAUAAGCUAGCAUCAAAUUUGCAUUUGUUUUGUAAACACCAAUAUACCUUUGGCUAUGAAAAUUUUAUGGAGGCCAUUAAAUUAUAUCUAAAGGCUUGAUUACUUUAAUAACAUCACAUAACUGUCUUUACCAAUUUACUCUAAUAAAUAAGUGCUGUAUUUCUGUAAUAUUUGGAAUACUGGAAUCAUUUAAAACACCAUUACUUUGACUCCUAAGGUUGAGGACAUAAAAACAAAAAACUGCUAAUAACAAAUAAAAGUAAAGCCUUUACAUAUAAACGAUAAUUAUCAAACGUAACAUUACUACUAUAAAGCAGUUAAUAUUAGCGGGGGUUUAAUCUUUUGGAUUUCUGGUGCUUAACCCUUUUUCCAAGGUCAAAUUUUUGCAUUUUUCUUGUACCCGAUUCUAUUCUUCUUUAAAGAAUAAAUUUUCACAACUUUAUAUCUAAAUCUGUUCAUACCUUUACUGCUGCUGCUCAUUUUGAUCUAUGUACAUUUUGUUGUACAGUUUACCUAUUAUUUAAGACUAGAAUAUGAAUCAUGAAUAAAACUUUUUUUGUUGAUAGUGUCUCAUUAACCUCAAUACAGUUUUCCCAAUCUCCUUUAUUUCUAACUCGUCUAUAAGAGCAAUUUCUUAGAAGUCACACGGUCCUACUAAAAAGCGCCCCGGAGCGCCCAAGAAAAGAAAAAGUGCCCGGAGAAGGAAAAUUAGCACCCAGAGUAGAAAAUUAUCAUAUAAUAAUAUUUUAUAACAAUAUUUUUUUUCCUUAAAAAAAAUCAUUGCUUGUUUUGUCACAGUCCUUAAUAUAAAUGCGGAUUUGUACGAUGCUACAUCUAAAGUGUUGUUGCACUUUUACAAUUUGAUUUCAAAAUUGUAUAUAAGUAAGUAAAUAUAUAUAAAUAAGAGUAUACAGAAGAAUCAUGAAUGAUAUUGCCCUCAAUCAAAACGUAUAUUUUGUUAUUUAAAAAUAAUCAGUGCCUGAGGUGUAAUAUUUUCGCAACUGCAUGUAUGCAUGUGGUGAACACCUUUUUAUGCAGAUACUGAUACAGAUUUAUUAUAUGAUGACUCUUUUUAUAAUUUAAUGUUUGAUGUAACGCAGUCUUCUGAUUGGUUUGACUUAUUUUGUUAUGAGCCCAUAGACAUAAGUUAGACAUGUGACACGUGACCGAUCAUCAACGUUUUUCAUGUUUUCUAUGGUUGAAAAUUGAAUGUUAGAAUUAAAUUAUAAGAAAUGGCACUGUAAUAUUUUUUCUGUCUAUUUGAAAUAACAUAAAAAUGUGUGUGCACAAUGUUAAUAAACCCGGCUACGUGCGUUAUUCAGUGUGCACCAAUUUUUUUAUGUUAUUUCUUCAUUAGACAGAAAAAUUUAUAGUCAUUCCUAAAUUAAAACUUAUACUGUUUCAGUGGCUAUGCUAUCAGGGCUUUAAGCUUGUUUAAAUUAAAACCAAACUCCUGGCGUCUUUAUCCCUGGUUUUAACUACGGUACAUGUAAGAUAGCGCUUUAUUGCUGAUUUAUUAUGUGUAAGAGUGGGGCGCAUCAUAUGCCUGGCAAUCGCCGUUUUAUUGAUUUGGAGGUACAAAAACUUUCAAAAGGCAUUGGUUGAAAUGGAAGAAAUAUGCCGUUUAAAUUAUAUUUUUAUAAACAAAAUAUCGAUUAUUUUUGAAAAUGAGACUAAUUUCGGCAAUUACCGGCAAAGGACCGAAGAAAUGGACACGAUUUUCAGCCAAUUUCCGUGAAUGAAAAAAAUAACGAUUCAAAGAAGCAUCCUUAGUAAUUCUUCUGACUGAUUGCCCUAAGAUUUCAAGUUAAUUUUUACACCUUUCAAUGUCUGCUAUUCGUCUAUAAUGAAUUAUAUUUGAUUAAAUAUUGGUUUAAAGCUUGCAGUUAUUUGGUUUAAAUAAUAUAGUAAAAAACGGCGAAUAUGUGUCCCCCGUUGACAAAAAAAUAGGGAAAAUUUCAUACACCUUUUAAUCCAACUUUUCAGAUGAUUUUUACUCAAACAAACACGUUUUCAAGCUAAGAAUAUUUUGCAUUUGAGAGUUAUCUCAUAUAGAAUAUUUGUAUACUUUCAAAACAACAGUAAAGACCUAAAACCAUAAACUGAGAAAACAUGGAAAGAUAUGCGAAAAUGAUCACCACUCUAACUCUUUUAAUUUUGAUUGAAUUAUUAUUUAUCUGUGAAAUUUAAGUUGUUUUUACAUUUUUCAUUUUAAUAGUAUUCAUAUAUUAUUGUUAAAAUGAAACAUUCAUACUUGUUUUUGUGCUUUAUUACAAAUGUCUAUUAUCUGAAUUUGCAAAUAACUUGUCAAAAAUAAAAAAAAGAAUCAAUUUUCAUAACUUAUUUCAUCGACACAAAGUUGUCUCAUGCCAAACAAAUAUUUUUUUAUUUUUUCCCCGGGCGCCUUUUCUUUUCUCCGGGCACUAUUUUUUCUUCCCUGGGCGCUUUUUCUUUUCCCCGGGCGCUUUUUAGUAGGACCCAAGUCACAGGUAAAAAAAUCAACACAAAAAUUGUAAUCUAAAAGCAAUAACUCCUACAAUAAGUUGACCAACAAAAUAAACAAUGCUGAUUUAUUUGUAAACCUUGAGCGCAUUUGUUUCUAACCUAAACGAUGUAAACGAUUAGCGAAUCGUUUAAUCCAUUUGUUCUACAUUUUUUGGUCAACGUUGACAUCAUUCACAUAAACGAUGUACGCGCAAAAUAGUCGCGUAGUCGUUGAUCGUUUAUCGUACGUGUAAACAAUAAAUUUGUUUCUGCAUCUAUCGUUUAAAUAUUUACGAGCACGUGUUGUUUUCGCAAAGUCCUGGUUAUUAAUUUCCCGCACUUUUACCUGUUUGUUUACAAUGCGCGAGUGUAUAAAUCUAUUUCUGUCUGACUACGUGGGGUCGAUAAAGUUUAUUAAACGAUGUAUUUUUUUCUAGCAGCUUCACGUUUACUAAACGAUAGUCAUCGAUGACAAAAUUUCGGGUUAGAAACAAAUGCACUCCUUGUCUUGCUGAACAUUUUUGCUGUUUAGCCUUCACUCUGCCACAGUGUUUCAAAACCUCAAAUGUAGGUAAAAUAAAUUAUCAUUCAAGGACAGUAACUCUAACUAUAAGUGGUCAAACAAUUUUUGCUUUGCUGACCAUCUAUCAUGAACUUGCUGAUAAUAUUUGCUAUUUAUUUAUUCUCUCUAUCUAUAUUUAUGUUUUCAAAAGAAAAGGCAAAACGGUUAAAAUCGACAUAGGAGUGAUUUGACGAUUUGGCUGUUUUUGUAUUUUCUGUAGAUCUUGUCAAGCUGAUCAUUUUUACUAUUUUUAACUGACACAACGGAGGAUGAAUGAUGAGAAUAGUUACUUUCAAACUCAUAUAGAGAAUAAACCUUAAUACAAAUUAUCUAUCAUUCUAAAAAAGUUUGACAACUGUCAAGACAUCCUUGAAAUAUUUCUUUUUCUUAGAGAUAUUUGAAUAGUUCAUUAAUGCUUGAAAUACAUGCAGACAAUAUAUAGCCUAUUGAUGCCAGGUUUUCCCAAUUCUUGAUUAGAAAAUUUCCCAUUUAUACAUGUGACAUGGCUUAAUAUGCAGCUAGGUGAAGUUCAGAUAGACAUGAAUAAAGGAUGGUAGUUUAAUAUUUGCUGAUUCUCACUUUAUUUCUCUAUAGCCUGAGUCAGUUAUAAGGGCAAAGGGGAGUGGUCUUCAUUUCGGCAUUCUUUAAAUUUUAUAUGCCAUUUUUGACUUUCCUUUAUAUUUUUGUACUCCAUCCUUCUCUGUUCUUAUAUUUUUUUGGCCCAAUAGUCUAUAUUUUUUGGCCCAAUAGUCUAUAUUUUUGGCCCAAUAGUCUAUAUUUUUUGGCCCAAUAGUCUAUAUUUUUCGCUCAACUUUCCAUUUUGCCUAUUAUUCACUUUUCUGUAAAUUCUGUAAACUUCAUCAAAACCCUCAGUAAUCGAUAUAUUUCUGAACAUGUCAAUAUACGUACAUGUAUAAAAAAGAAGAUGUGGUAUGAUUGCCAAUGAGACAACUGUCCACAAGAGACCAAAAUGACACAGACAUUAACAAUUAUAGGUCCCCGUACUUGGCUAAGGUUCUAAAAGAGAUAUGCAUAAUUUAAAAAUCUGUAUGUACAUAGUUAUAGGAAGAUGUGGCGUGAGUGCCAACAGUCCACAUUUGAUAAAAGAGGGCCUUUAAUGAUUUUAAGUCUAUGUGUUUGUUCUUAGAAAUUCGACCAAGAUUUCUUUGAAUAAGGAAAUGACAGCAAUUUUUCCAUUUAUAUAGGGCAUAACUCUAGAAUGGUAAAAGUGAUGCCACCAAAAUUCAAACUUGAUCUGUAUUUAGUGGUAAUAAGCAUUGUGUAUAAGUUUCAUAACAUUUGGUUGAGGCAAAUUAAAGUUAGAGAACAGAAACCAACUUUGGGACGUAUGUACAUACGUCGACAGACAAGGGUUUAACUUAAUGCCCCCCUCCGCUAUGACAGUCGCAUAAAAAAACACAAAACGAGAAGCACUUUUGAAGCAAAUCAACAAACCACAAUUUUUGUAUUUUGUCUUAGGUAUUUUAUGUUUAAAUCAGAGGUCAAAACUCCAGGCAAAUAUAAUACAGGAGACCACUAAAGCCACUAAAGACAUAUUCCAAGGUCUGUUAAUGAAUCUAUAAACUGACAUCUGUCUUUUACCAUCUUAAUAUUUCCUACAUCACAAUAUUUCUUACUUUGAAUGACUUCCUUCAAUAUGUUCCCUAUCACAGACAGGAAAUGACUUGACAAUAGUCCAUUCUCUAAGGGACAUUGACUUAUAAAUUGGAUGGAUAAACCAUCAUCUCAUUGUGAUUAAAAUCUAUCUUCAGAGGAAGGAAGCUAGAUAUACAAAAUAUGCUUCAUUAUCUAAGCUGACAAAAUCUAAUGUCUUUUAUUACCACAUGAAACAUGUUGAUAAAUUGUUUUUUUGUAAAAUAAACUGUGAUCACAGGGAUCUGUCUUGUCUUUUUGUUAUUUUUAUGAUGCAAAUGUUGAAAUCAAAAUAGCAAUACUUUAACAUCUUACACAAGAAAAUAUUCAAAGUCAAUGAACCAUGACUGAGGUUACAUGGCUUCACAUUCUCCAUGUAAAUGAGAUGUGCCAAAGCUUAUACAACUGCAUACCAAAUAUCAUUGACCUACCACUUGUGGUUCCCCAUAAACUGAUCUAAUCACAAACUAAUACAUGUAAAAUAAGCAAAAGUUUCAAAGUCAAUAGACCAUGACUAAAGGGGCGGAGCUAAAUUAUCUACAUGAAAAUGAGAUGUGCCAAUGCUUAUACAACUGCAUACCAAAUAUGAUUGACCUACCACUUGUGGUUCACCAUAAACUAGACCUAAUCACAAUCUAAUACAUUGUUGCUGCCACUGUCGCUGCCACCAGAAACAGCAUACCUAUGUCUGGCUUUUUAAAUCUGUCAAGUCGAGACAAAAACCAAAAACAAUCAAGAAAUCAGAUAAGUUCAAGAAACUAGUUAAAAUUGCAGUAAUGAUUAACAAUGAGUGCUGUUAAAUGAUUUAAAAUCAAUACUAAGAAAUAGAAAACCAGGCCUCAUGGUCACAAAAUUAUUGUACUCAGACUCAACCUAUCAAAAUGAUAGAUUUUUACUGAGUAAAGUAUGCCUGGUGGCCUUGGUCUGCAUGCGAGACAAAGUAUACCUAUAAAUAUGAAAACCAUGCCUGUAUGAAGGAAAGAAAAGAAUGGUGGCCCAUGAGGCUUUGAUGGAUAACCAAAAUAUGUUACUACAUGUAACAAUCUGUUUCAGAAUGCAACUAAACAACAUACUCAACUACUUUCUUGUUCAAGUCACAACUUAGAAUAAGUAACCUGUAGAAUAGAACUGGAAUGAAAAAUGACAAAAAGACUUUCCCAAUUUUCAAUAAACUAUAGAUUCUGUAUGAAUGAGUUAUUGUCAACUGUCCAUGGACAAUGUGAAUUCUAAUGUAACAUAAUGUUUGUAACACUUAUGUUUAAUUGUAUACCGUCACUAAUUUUCAUGGUAUCAAUUCACAAUUAAUGCUAUGAAAAAUAUGCUCAAGCUUAGACAUAUGACAGGACUUAAAUGUAUGAUUAAACGUUGUUUUCUGUCAGUUUCUUUAGAAGGAAAUAACAAUAUUGAAUUUUAAGCGUUUACUGCAUCAAUUGGUGAUUUGAUGGUCGCAAAUACCCAAUUACUGCCUUUGCCUACGAGUCACCAGUGAACUUAAUUUUCAACCAUCAAAUCACCAAUUAAUGCCAUAAUGGAGCUUUAAAUACAGUACAGUUAUCUUCUAAAUAUUACAACUGAACAACAUAUUUUUUAUAGUUGAAUGUGCUCAAAAUGUGAGGAUUGAAAGUAGAAUUAUCUAUGAAUUUUUCACACCAAUGCCUUUUCAAUGCAUAUGAUGACACAACUAUAUGUAUGACGUGAUCGAAAAGUAAUCUACCUGCUUUUCAUUUUGUAUUAUCUCAUUUUCAUGUUCAAAUCUUGAAUUAAAAGUUUGUAUUUUGUUGAAAAAUUAGACAGAAUAAAUUUAAGGCACUUAUUGUGCUCAGUCUUUUACAUCUUAUAAGCCAUUAGUUUAGACAUAUUUAAUAGAUCGAUUUUGUGUUUUUAAACAAUAAAAUAUGUUUUAACUAAUGGGUUCAACGAUGGAAAUAUUACACAAGACAUUAAUGAUUUAAUCUUUGCUUUGUUGCAAAAUAUUUAGGUCAGACAACUCAGAACCCAUCUUGCCUUACAUAUGCAGGAAAAUUGUUUUCCUUUUAAACAAUUAUGUACCUUAUACGAAUAUAAAUGCAAACCAGAGGCUCCUUUUGGUUUUGUAUAAGUAAGACAAGAGUGCUUAUAUUGUUCUACUGUAUAUAUUUGAAAUUACAUUGCCUGCAGUCACAUGGUGCCAUUGUGGAAUGACAAUAGAACAUGUAUACAGGUCCCCAAAAUCCCAUAAAAAUGAUAACCAGGUGCUCUGCAGGGCGCAGCUUUAUACGACCGCAGAGGUCCAAACCCGAACAGUUGGGGCAAGUAUGGACACAACAUUCAAGCUUUGAUACAGCUCUGAAUUUGGAUUGUGAUCAAAUUUUUGACAUAUGGGUUUCUGACACAAAACAAAUGUAAAUCUUACAAAUCUAUUGCGCAAUAUUGUGCAAUUAAAGAUUUCUUUUUCAAACUUUUCAAAAAUUUGGAAAAAAAAAAAUUGAAAACUAUUACCACCCCCUUUUUUUACAAUUAGUCCAAAACCUGACAUUUCUUUAUAUAUAAUUUACAAGUGAUUUACAAGUAGUGUAAGGAAGGUAAAUCCAAACAUUUCCAACAUUGUAUGUUAAAUGUUUUUGAAUUGCCUCCCUAUUCACUGCUUUGAAAUUGUCUUAAUAGUCAAAUGACCAGAAAAAAAAAAAAUUUCCCCUUUUUUUGCCCCUAAUUCCAAAAUAUUUUGAGCCACAACCCCCCAAAGUCAAUACUAACCAUCCCUUCAUGGUAUGGAAACUUGUGGUAUAAUUUCAGAGAGUUUCAUACACUUAAACACAAGUUAUUGUUUGAAAACUACAAAAAUGUUUAUUUUAGGCCCCUUUUUGGCCCCUAAUUCCUAAACUAUUGAGACCAUAACCCCGAAAAUCAAUCCCAACCUUCCUUUAAUGGAAUUGAACCUUCUGGUAAAAAUUUAUAGAGAUCCAUUCACUAAAAACUAAAGUUAUUGUCCGGACACUAAAUGCGUCUUUCGAAAGACGACGACGAUGCAGACAACAUGAUACCAUUAUGCGACAAAAAAUAUUUUUGCGGUUGUAUAAAAAUGAUGUACUGCCAAGAAUCCUGGAGUGAUCUUUUUUUAUUUUUGAAACAAUAUAUCUCAUCUUUCAAUGUAAAAUUACAUAUCCGCUUAAGGCAAGGACUCUUCCUCAUAAUUCAAUUGGUGAAAAAUGAAUGAAACUUCCAUGUAAUAAAAAAAUUAACGGUACCAAUUUUCUUGCACCAUAUGCGCAUUUCGACAAUACAUGUCUCUUCAGUGAUGCUUGUGGCCAAAAUAUUUGAAAUCCUUCGAAAUCCAAAGCUUAUAUAAAAGAUGAAGAGCUAUAAUCCAAAAGGUCCAAAAAGUAUAGCCAAAUCUGUGAGAGGAAUCAGAGCUUUGCAUGAGGGAGAUACAUUUUAAUUUAUAAUAAUUUCUAUCAUUUUGUAAAAUAUUACCUCAUUUACAUUUCUGCUGAAUAACUUAAAAAAUUUCUUUUUAAAUUUUGCUGAAUAAUUUCCACCCACUUAAAACCAUUUUGCUGAAUAAUGAUUCAAUUGACACUGCUUUUGUUUUUACAUUUGACAAUUAACUACAUGUAUAUGGACAUGCAAUUUUAUAAUUUCCAAGGUUAUCUAUCCUCAUUAAAUCGUAUCAUUUAAUGGUAAAAUCUAUAAAUUAAUUCCUGAAUUACCGUCAAUACAUAAAACCUUUCACUUUACCGUCAAUACAUAAAACCUUUCACUAAGGAAGCAAUCUAUUUCAUUGUUGAGGUCAUAUAUUUAAAUUUAUAGCUACUUACUUACAUAAACAUCACGUUAUGUUCAUUAUUCAAGUAAUAGAAAGAGGAAAAACAUGGUGAACAGCAAUGCACAAACUAGUGAUUUUUUUUUUAAUUCCAUUGAAAAAAUAAUUAAAACUUUACAUAUCUUUUUAGAAUUUCCUAUCACCAUUGAAUGGGUAUAUAUAAAAAAAAGAUGGCAACAAUCAACAUAAAUAUAUAUGUAGAUGAUGUCCUCCUGUAUGUAGAUGAUGUAUGACAUGUGGCCUGUCAUUUAGCUAUUGCUGUUUUGUGCUUUAUACCACUUUCAGCUUUCUUGGCUAUUUCAUGGCCUUCAGUUUGUGAUACUGGAGAAAGCCUGAGUACCCAAUGAGAACCAUCAUAAAUAUUAAAGUAGGAAAACUGGCAAUCUUAAAUGUCAACUAGGAUCUGAGUUGAACAGACCUUGCCAUGAUUAGGGUUCACACCCUCUGAUUCCUCAGGCUAGUGCUGACUGUAUGAAGAUGGACUACUUAAAGACCACAACAUAAAGUACAUUAAACUCCAACCAGAUGCUCCGCAGGGCGCAGCUUUAUUACGGACCGCAGAGGUUUGUAACCUGAACGGUGGGCAAGUAUGGACACAACAUUCAAGCUGGAUUCAGCUCUAAAAUUUGGGUUGUGAUUAAUAGUUGACACAGCAUAGUUUCUGACACAGAAUGAAUGCUGGUCUAAUGAACUUAAAAAAAUUAUUGCCUUGAGCAAUUCACUAUUCGUUGAUAUUUAUCCUCUCAAAAUAUGUUUGAAGAAAUUUUCUUUUAUUUAUUGAAAUCUGAAAUGAAAAAAAUUGACCCCCAAUUUUUUUUUCACAUUCUCCCCUUUCCCUAUUUCAAAACUGAUCUCAAUUUUCAAAUUUCUAAUGAAGUUUGCAACAAAUAAUACUCAUUUACAAUACAUCCAUAAAAUUAUUAAAAUGUAAAAAAAAAGUGCUUGACUAUCACUGAAUUGGUAAAGCAUUGGUUUUAAUCUCUAAUCAGUUGGUAGUAAAAGUGAAUAUACAUUUGUAUAUGUAUAAAACAAUGAUUUUAAGUUGAUUUCCAACUACUAUUCUGGACAAAGAAAGAUAACUCCAAUUGAAAAUCCAAUUGAAUUUACUUGCUAUAGCACUAAUAUUUGGGCAAUUAUGAUAUUUCUUGUAUUGUUGCAAUACUGUGCAAUUUGAAAAUAUUUUGCUAUUGACCAAUACUGUGCAAUUGAAGACUUUUCUUGCUAUUGCACAUACUGUGCAAUUUGAAGAUUUCUUGCUAUGCUGAAUACUGUUGCAAUUUUGAAAAAUUUCUUGCUAUUGCACAAUCUUAAUAUAAUUAAUUUUGGAUCCUGAUUUGACCAACUUGAAAACUGGGGCCCAUAAUCAAAAAUCUGUAUAAGUACAUGUUAGGAUUCAGCAUAUCAAGAGGCCCAAGAUCAAUUUGUUUUAAAAUCAAACUUGUUGUAAUUUUGGACCCUGUGGACUUAAUUAGACCAAUUUUAAAACGCGGACCAAAAUUAGAAUCUACAUACACAGUAGAUUUCGGCAUAUCAAAGAAACCCCAAUUAUUCAAUUUUUGAUGAAAUUCAAACAAAGUUAUUUUGGACCCCAAUUUAGGACCAACUUGAAAACUGCGGCCAAUUUAAUCAAAAAAUCUAAAGUACAUUUUUUAGAUUCAGCAUAUCAAAGAACCCCAGGAUUCAAUUUUUGUUAAAAUCAACUAAGUUAAAUUUUGACCCUUUAACCGUAAUGUAGACAAUUUGAAAACGGACCAAAAAAUUUAGAAUCUACAUCCACAGUUAGAUUCGCGGAGCAUAUCAAGAACCCAAUUAUUCAAUUUUUGAAGAGCAAAUCAAACAAAGUUUAUUUUGGGACCCUUUGGGCCCUUUAUUCCUAAACUGUUGGGACCAAAACUCCCAAAUUCAAUACCAACCUUCACUUCAUCGGUCAUAACCUUGUGUUUAAAUUUCAUAGAUUUCUAUUUACUUUAUACUAAAGUUAUGUCGGAAUAAAAAAAAAAAAAAAAAAAAAAAAAAAAAAAAAAAAAAAAAAAAAAAAAAAAAAAAAAAAAAAAAAAAAAAAAAAAAAAAAAAAAAAAAAAAAACAAAAAAAAAAAAAAAAAAAAAAAAAAAAAAAAAAAAAAAAAAAAAAAAAAAAAAAAAAAUCCAAGAAAAACUGCUUAUUUGGGUCCCUUUUGGCCCCUAAUUCCUAAACUGUUGGGACCUCAACUCCCAAAAUCAAUACCAACCUUCCUUUUGUGGUCAUAAACAUUGUGUUUAAAUUUCAUUUGCAUUCUAUUACUUAAACUAAAUUUUAUUGUGCGAAAACCAAGAAUAAUGCUUAUUUUGGGCCCUUUUUUGCCUAAUUCCUAAACUGUUUGGAACCAAAACUCCAAAUAAUCCCACCUUUCUUUUGUGGUUCAUAAACCUGUGUCAAAUUCAUAGAUUUCUAUUACUUAAAACUAAAGUUAUAGUGCGAAAACCAAGAAAAUGCUUAUUGGGCCCUUUGGCCCUAAUUCCUAAAUGUUGGACUAAAAACUCCAAAAUUCAAUCCCAACCUUCCCUUUGUGGUCACAGAGGCACACGCUUAAAUGUCUCGCCUUCUUAACUAAUCAUUGAUAUAAUGUUGCUAGUCCUAAGUAUAAAGCUAAGCUUUAUUUACAACUGUCACAUAAACUUAACAUUAACAAGAUAACUAAACAAAGACCAAAUGGAACACUUGAAAAUAGGUCCAGGUUCAGGAUGAACCAUGCAGGCAGACAGGCUACAGCUAACAUGCUUCUUAUACAACUAUAUAGUUGACACAUUACUUAUAAGUUUAAAGUAAAAAUAGACCAAACACAAAAACAUAACACUGUGCAAUUUAACCGCUGAAAAUGAGUCACGGUUUUAAAUAAAAACCUGCCGGACUGACAUAAAGAUCAUAAAAUAUUUCCAUAACACCAAAUAUAGUGGAACCUAUGGCAGUAUAGCCAUUAAUAAAAGAUCAAAACUCAAAAAACUUAACUUGACCACUGAACCAUGAAAAAAUGAGGUCCAGUCACAUGACAUCUGCCCGCUAGAACAAUGUACACUUAACAAUCAUUCCACAUACAACAAAUUAUAGUAGACCUACUGCAUAUAGUAUGAGAAAAAAGACCAAAACACAAAAAUUUAAACUAUAACCACUGAACAUGAAAAUGAGAUCAAGGUCAGAUGACACCUGCCAGUUGUACAUGUUUACACCUUACAGUCCUUCCAUACACCGAAUAACUAGCCCUAUUUGCUUAUAGGUAUCUGAGGAUAUGACUUGACACAAAACUUAACCUUGUUUUACUGAUUCCAUGAAAUGAGCUCGAGCGUCAGUUGAAACUGUCUGACAGACAUGUAGGACCUUGCAAGUACGCAACAAUCAAAUAUAGUUAUCCUUUACUUAUAAUAAGAGAGAAAUUCAACAUUUACAAAAUUGAACUUUUUUUUCAAGGUAGUCACUGAACCAUGAAAAAGAGGUCAAGGUUAUUAUUGGACAUGUGACUUGGACGGAAACUUCGUAACAUGAAGCUUAUAACAAAGUAUAAGCAUCCAGGUCUUCCACCUUCUAAAAUAUAAAAGCUUUAAGAAGUGAGCAUACACCGCGCCGCCGCCGGAUCACUUAUCCCUAUGUCGAGCUUUCUGCAACAAAAGUUGCAGGCUCGACAAUAAACCCUUGUGUUAAAAUUUCAUAGAUUUCCAUUCACUUUUACUAAAGUUAGAGUGCGAAAACUAAAAGUAUUCGGACGACGGACGACGACGACGACGCCGACGCCAACGUGAUAGCAAUAUACGACGAAAAAUUUUUCAAAAUUUGCGGUCGUAUAAAAAGGAUAUCAAAUCUGUUAUCAUCAACAAUUGCUUACAACAAUUAGAUUUUUUUUUUUAAAUCCAAUAAAAUGCUUCGCUGAGCACAUUCUGAUCGACCUUAGAGGUUGAACAGUUAUGGCAAAAAAAGAAAAAAAAAAAAAAAAAAAAAAAAAAAAAAAAAAAAAAAAAAAAAAAAAAAAAAAAAAAAAAAAAAAAAAAAAAAAAAAAAAAAAAAAAAAAAAAAAAAAAAAAAAAAAAAAAAAAAAAAAAAAAAAAAAAAAAAAGAAAAAAAAAAAAAAAAAAAAAAAAAAAAAAAAAAAAAAAAAAAAAAAAAAAAAAAAAAAAAAAAAAAAAAAAAAAAAAAAAAAAAAAAAAAA